CCGCCUCUUCCCUAGCUGCGGCUCUCUCUUUCUCUCUCUCUCCCUCUCCGUCUCUAAGAUCUCUCCGGUGAGGUUUUCGUGUUUCUCUCUCACUCUCUCUGUUGCUUUUUCGCUUGCCAAACUUUAGACCUGCUUUAUCUGAAGAAGGAUUCGGCUCUUGACAAAGAGUCAAACAGCAGGCGCCUUGUGAUCCAUGGCGAUAUACCUGUCUGCCGCAUGGAGCCGAUAUUAGGUCGCCGGACGAAGAUUGCUUGGAUUUCUUAUUCCUUCAAUCCAACGCCACAAUACCCGGCCACAUAUCCACACCAAAAACUUAGAUCCUCUUCUCCCCCUUUGUUUUCUUUACUCGUUUAUCAUGUAGCUUAUAGUUCUUCUAAUGUGACUGAUUUUGAUCGAUGGAUGAAUGGCAUUUAAUUCAGACAACGGGUGCUUUGUUCUCAGAUAACAAGCCACCUUUUGCACGGUGCCUACAGAGAGAUCAAACAUCGUGAGGCUGCCACACGAUUGUGGGGUGUGCUUACUCUUGUUAGCCCCCUGCAAAUUUAAAGCUGCCACAUUUCUCUAUCUCAAAUAUCAUCCUUGUUUCUCUUUAACUCCGGUUUUAGAUUAAUUUUCACCAUACUUGUUAUUGUUGUUUCGAUCUUCAUCAUCAUCCUCAUAGAGUUCAAUCAUCGUUUCUAAAAAUCUUGUUAUCAGGAUUUCACAGUUAGGAAUUGAAUUGUGCAAACCAGAACUGGUGGUCUUAGUGGUCUUAUUGAUUAAAGAAUACUAGUGGACAUUCGAACAGAGUUUUGGACACAACAAAUUAUGGAAUAUUGGUGAAGAUGUUUAAAAUUGCUGGCUUUGAGUAUAUUUAUGAAUGAUUUAUUUUUGAUCUUCCAUCUCAAAUCUUUUUGUAAGAUAAUUCAAUUGCAUCUCUUUUAUUUAUAAAGAUAUCUUAAAAGUUUGAUUUAAUCAUUUUUUAAUUUUUUUGACUCAUCAACUUUACCCUUUUUUAAGAUGUUCAAUUGUAAAAUAAAUUCAAUACAUGUCUUUUACUAUGUGACUCUCCUGUUUGAAUAUUUGAAAUAUUCAUCUUGCAUAUAAAUAUUUUUAUGAGUUCCGUGCUAAGGAGGAAAAUAGGCACAUAAAAUGUCACAGGGAAAUCAUCAAUCUCUUUAAACGAGUCCAAAUGUCUUGACCAUCCAUGCUAGUGGAGAUCAACAAUGCUUAGUUAUUGCUACAGUAUGGUCAUUUUUUUGGAUUUAUAGUUUUGAGGAAGCAACAAUUAGAGCAGCAGCAAAAUGGCAGACAAGGCUGGAGAUUCUCAUUGAGGAGGAAUUUGAUGUUGUCAUCCUGUCUCAAUGAAACGUCCUCUUUGAUACAUUUUGAGUGUACUGAGAGACAAAAAGAUUGUUUAAUUGGUAUGUUAAUUUUGUGAUUGAAGGGGCUUAUUUCUGAGGAAAAAAAUGGCUUUUGUUAUGCAGAUUGCAAGUAUAUUGCCUGUUGUUAGAACAAUUAAGCUAAGCUGAUGAACUCAUGAAAUCAGAACAUUAUUAUUAUGAUCAGGUAAAUUUUUAGUAGCAUCAUUAACAGAAAUAGCAAGUGUAAAGCAUCAUUAACGUAAAGGUUAAAUUUAACAAAAUAUUUCAUUUUCAUAUUCGAUCAUCCUACAGUUUGACCCGUUUGAACAUUCUUUGACUCAUUCCCGAGUUGACUCAGUCAAUUGGCUCCCUCGUUCCCACCCUUCCCUUCCUCCGUCGGUUGCUGGGUUGAUUGAGCAGCUCUGCCGCGGCCCCUACUGACGCUCCGCACCGUCAUCGCCGCCUGCUCCUGGGAACUCAGUUCCGGCAUCUGCAACGAGAUGACGGACUCGAAGGCCCCCGCGAGUGCCAACACCUUGUUCCGCCGCGCCGCCAGCUUGGUGGCCUUCUCCUCUAUCACAGCAUUGUAAGCCGGCAGCGGCUCGUUCCUCCCGUUCGCUGGCCCCUUUGGCGCCACCCCCUCUUCCUCACCCUUUUCCUUCUCUUGUGCCACUGUCUUGUCUCCUCCCACCUCGCUCUCCCGCUGCAGUUCCAUCUUUCCUUCCGUCUCGUGUGAGACCUCGUCGUCGUCCGUCUUGGCUGCUUUUGGCUCUUCGCUCUCUACCUUGGCCUUGCUCUCGUGUGGCUGUUCUACCUCCACUUGUGUGCCCUUUGCCUGGUCUUGUGUUUGGGUUUUAUCGUCGACAUGUAUCACCUUGUCGUCCUCCGAUUUGGCCGCAGUGGUGGAGGUCGUGGCAGCGACGUUGGCCUUCCUGACCGGAACUGCUUUCCCGCUUGUUGGAGUCUUGAAUGCCUUCCCCAAGCUUGGUUUCGGAGAGAUCGCAGCCAUGGAAGAUCUCCCAUCAGUUCUUCUGGUUCUCUCUUUUAAGCCGAUUGCUGUCGUCACUGGAGAUUUCUCGAUUCCCGUCGUUCUCUUCUUUGAGCUGAUUGCUGCUGUCAUUGGAGACUUGGCAGCUCUGGUCCUUGCUCUCUCUUUGGAGCUGAUCGAUGCAGGAGUUCUUUCGGGCACAGAGGUGAGCAAGCGAGCUUUGUUGAUGGAGCUUCCAGGCUUGGCAGAGCAGGUAGCCAUGGAAGAGGCCUCGGAAGCUUGUUUCUGGCUCCUGGGAUACCUGCAGCUGCCGACAUGGCAGGAGCUUAUGGUGGGCUUCAGAUAGUUCGCUAUCGUCUUCCCCGGCAGCUUUGAAACGUCCCCUUGGUGGGAGGCUCUGAUGCCAUUUCCUCCAUUGUUGUCCCUCUCUUUCUGAUGCACUCCUCUCUUCGCCAUCGCCAUGAGCUACUCGAUACCUGCACGGAAACCACAGAAGGUGGAAGAAUGAUGAAACAGUUCAAGCUGAUCUCGAUCAAUCAACAUCAGACAACAAGUUUCAAGUUAGUGUUACCCGUGCCGGAAGGGGAUCAAAGAAUUGCUCUCAGGAGAUCCACCGAGAGAGAGAUGAAGGCUUCUCUUGCUUGCGAGGAAACAGUGGGGAAAUAAUAGAGAGGGAUGAAUCGGGUGGUUGGACCGAGUGGGAGUUCGUGGGAUAGUUAUUGGUCGGUUAACACAGCUACCAUGUUCUAAUACUGGGGUUGACCAGGUCAAAAUCCGGUGUCUGCUUGCUGGAACAUGCCAUGACAAGCCCAAUUUUGGGAAAGAAUUAACAGCCAACUUAUAUGUAUAUGAUAUGAUUAAUUAAAAAUACAGGGUUAAAAUCUCGACUUAGCGCGCGCGCACGCACACACACACAUAUAUAUAUAUAUUAUCUAAAAAUAAAUAUUUUGAAAAGAUUUAUUAAUUGGAAGAAUAUUAAUGAAAACUUGUGAAGCCUGUUUGAUGAUGGGCCUAACAAUCCGAAGCCCAAACUCGGUCCGAUUUAGUUAAUGGACCUCGGUUUAAAACUACUUCACGGCCCAACCCAUAAAAAAUAAAUAAAUAAAAUAAAUAAAUAAAUAAAUAAAUAUAUAUAUAUAUAGAAAGAGGAGAGAUGGGGAUCGAACGGCUGUCGAUCUCCCCUGCAAACCCUAACGCCGAGAGCGAACUCCCCACCGACCCUUUCGAUAAAGCUCGCAACCGUCACGCUUUGGUCUCCUCGCUCCCCGAAUCCAUCGUGAGAGAUCCCAAGGAAAGCCCUCUGAUGCCAGUUGUGGUUUACUGGUUGAUUUCGGUCUAGGGUUUAGGGAGCGAUUGACGUUUGGUUUGAUCUGUGUUCUUGGCAGAGGAGGGAGAUGGCGGCGGAGGGGCCGAAGGCGGUGGUCCCGGAGUCCGUGCUGAAGAAGAGGAAGAGGGAAGAGCAGUGGGCGCUGGCGAAGAAGCAGGAGCUCGACGCCAAGAAGAAGAAGGCGCGCGAGAACCGGAAGUUAAUCUUCGGCAGAGCCCAGCAGUACGCCAAGGAGUACGGAUCGCAGGUGGUUACCGCUAAUAUGAUUCUUAGUGUUAAAAAUUUGAUUUUUAUCUCAUUAUUGUAUCUGGCUCUAAUGGUAGGAGAAGGAGUUGAUCCGUUUGAAGAGAGAGGCCAGGUUGAAGGGCGGGUUCUAUGUCAGCCCAGAAGCCAAGCUUCUGUUCAUCAUCCGCAUACGAGGGUACGCCUGCUUUCUCUACUCAUCUAAAUGUAUAGUCUAUACGUAAUGGAUGGGUUUGCUUUGAUAUUUUAGAUGACUGUUGCGUCUUAUAUUCCUUCUUUGCUAUUGAUUGUGGUAGUAUAAAUGCCAUGCACCCGAAAACCCGAAAGAUCUUGCAGCUCCUACGUCUGCGUCAGGUACAGAUGUUAAAAUUCAUCAUCACAUGUGUAAAUUAUUGUAGUGUUUCUUUGUGUUUUAUUAAAGAAACACAAAUUAUUGUAGUGUAAAUUACAUGAUGUUAAAAUUCAUCAUCACAUGUCUCCUUGCAAACUGCUGUAGAUAUUCAAUGGCGUGUUUCUGAAGGUGAACAAGGCUACGAUGAACAUGUUGCAGCGUGUUGAGCCAUACGUGACAUAUGGGUACCCAGUGAUGUCAUUUUUAGACUAUUAUUGGAGUCUUUGCUAAGGCUUGUUGAGAGUCUGGUGUGGUUGUUAUGCUAAUUCUGAAUUUGAUGGCUUAGGUAUCCUAAUCUCAAGAGUGUUAGGGAGUUAAUUUACAAGCGAGGGUAUGGGAAGUUGAACAAGCAGAGAAUUCCUUUGACCGACAACUCGAUCAUCGAGCAGGUAUGUAUUAGGAUGCAGGGCCGGUGUGUGUUUCGUGUUCUUCCAACCUUUUAUUCUUAAGUUUACAUGGGGUUGUUCUUUGGUUGCAGGGCUUGGGGAAACAUGGUAUCAUCUGCAUUGAAGAUCUUGUUCACGAGGUUAUGACCGUUGGACCACACUUUAAGGAGGCAAAUAACUUUUUGUGGCCUUUCAAGUUGAAGGCACCAUUGGGUGGCCUGAAGAAAAAGAGGAAUCACUAUGUCGAGGGAGGUGAUGCUGGAAACCGUGAGGAUUACAUCAAUGAGCUUAUCAGAAGGAUGAAUUAGUUAUCUGAGGUUCACUUUAUCUCUUUUAUUAUGAGAGGAAAAAAGCAGUCGAACUUAGAUUUUUAUUUUAGUUGGAAUCAAGAGAAUUAAAAUUGUGCAAUUUUGUUGUUUCAAGUCUAGUUUUGGUGUGUUUAGUUCUCCUUGAUGAUGAUAGUAUUCAUAUUUGUUCUAGUAUUUUCGUUACUUCAAAUCAGAUGUCUAUGCCUCGUGUGGUGAAUUCUGAUGUUUGUCUUUCUCAAAUGCUCACGAGUUUGUGGUUUCAUUGUAUUAUUGCAUUGAUAACAAAGUUGAGCGAACAUCUUACAAUGUAUUCAUAUUGUUGCAUGUAGAAUAUCUUGUUUUCUGGUUAAUUUCUUUUUAUGAUCCUUCACAUUUUCAGACGUGAGCACAUUUUAUAUAUCCAUGCUUAUUUAUUCACACGGUAAACUUUCUCUACAAUGGGACUAUGAUUAGUGAUGAAUGAUGAAUGAUGAUACACAACUUGUGAAGGAUAGAUAGCCUGCACUUGUGGACAUUGCUACAAUUAAAUUGAUGUGAAUUUGUUCCUAAGACCAGACAUACUUUUGCGUGUGGUUCUUAGUGGUCUAACGCAAUCUUUCACUCCAGGCUUUGGAUCGACAUUAACAAUGUAAAAUUUCAUGUAGCUGAGUCCAAAUAGUGUUUGAGUUGUCGUCGUUGAAUUUUUAUCGGCUAUUGAUAUUGGAAUGCAGACCUCCCUGUACCUCUGGGCUGCCUCAAGCAAUUGUGGACUGUUGCAUAAAUAUGGUUAAUUUCGGUCCGAUUCAGGACAGGAUGAUUGCAGGACAAGUUAAUACAGAUUCUGAUACCCUCUACCUUGUUUCAGUCAGCCCGAUCCUUCAGCUGGCUAAUGGAUCAGGUGGGACUUGUUGCUUUAUCCAUGACUAGCUAGCUAGCAUCUGUGAAUGCUGUUUCUGAUCGGUGCUCGUGGUUUAUCUUCUGCCCUUCUUGAUGUGGUUUUUAGUUUAUAUCUAUCUGAUGGGGCUCUGUUGCCUCUGAAACGUAAUGUAUUGUGUGUUUGUGCUGGUUUGACUCAUCUUCUUAUAUUAUACAUAUAAUAUUGUGUAGCGAUAUUUGAUGCUAAAUGAUCCAUCAAAAACAUUAUGCUUGCUUGCUUGGGGUUGCAUCGGAGUGACUUAUGAAGCUAUGAUAAAUCAGAAAGACAUUACAGUUUUAAAAUAUUACAACAGACUAAUUUAUGGGUUAGGAAUUAAACGAUGAAGGCAUUGAUUUGAUCGUGGUAUAUGGUGCAUCGUAAAUGAUUUUGAUGAUAUAAACUAAAUUUGGAUUAUUGAUGGCAAAGUCCUAACAUCAAAUAUUUCGUCUUCAUCGUUUUAACUUCAAAAAAAAAAAAAUCUAUCGAUCUUGUAAAUUAUCACAAACAUUAUCAUGCAAAAUAUUCAUCAUCAUUCCAAGCUCAUAAUGUAGUUGUUACAUGAUGGUCGAAGCCGAACACCACAUCAACAUCUCUACCCUCAAAAACCUAGAAAGGUAAGUGGAGACGCAACAUUGGGAACUUACCGCAUCUCGAGAUUUGGAUCAAGUCGGGUUGAUCAACUCCCAUGAAGACGACCACUGACGUUUGGGCCACAAUGAGUACAACCGACGAAAGAAAGCUUAAAUAGCCAACACGAACGCCAGUUAUUCUUCUGCACAAAGAAUCGUUCAUACACAUUCAACUGGAACAAAGUUGCAGUCGUUUGAAAAUAAACCCUAGAUGCCAGAAAGACUACGUUCUAAAUUCUAAAACUAUAGUACAUGCACGUCGGAUAAACAGCAUCACACGUUAUCGGAAAAGCCAUGCGGGAGCGAGUCUCCCUGUUAGAUCACUCGAUCUCUUGCACUCCGUGCUUAUUCAUAAGCACGACACUUCUCAUGAUGUAUCAUGGCCAUUAACACCCACUGCAAUCGGCUGCGAUCCGACUGCUUCCGCAGUGUUGUCCUAGAGAAAAUGGAAUAGUGUGUGUAAGUCAAUGGGGGAAUCAAAGUUAAUUCUAAUGUAAAUGUAAAUUCCAUGAUUCCACAAAAGAAAUGCCAACAACAAACUUACCCCUUCUUUUGGUUCUGACAAGGCAUUCGGAGUAGUCGGAGCUGGAUUUUUCGAAAGAUCCCUCAUUGUUCCCUGCAGAUCCGGCAACAUGAAUCAACAUUAAUCAAAAAGAGAAGUCGAGUUUAUUUCACAUGUAUAAAUAAGCAGAAAAACAAUAUGAAUUUGAACUUUUUUUUCUUAUCUAUUUAACUCUUUUUUUUCAAUGUCUGUAGAAAAUGGCCAAACAAACCAUCAUGUUACCUUUAUUGGAAAGAAAUAGGGCUUAUUAGUCAUCCUAAUAUCUUGCAAAGGUAUACUGAACUGUUAUGUAAUUACAUACUCGACAAAACCAGCAAAAUAAGGAAUGCCAUAGAAAAAGAGGAUGGUGCACUUGAUAUUUUAUCAUAUGUAACUCAAUAUGUAUUGAACAUGCAUAAUAGACAGAAAAUAAGAAUUGACUAGGUUGGGAUCAAUCUUUUCAAAAGUUCAGUACAGUGAUCUAAAUUAAGGUAUAGGUCAGAAUGAAUUAGAUUUGAAAUUAAAAAGAAUAUAAAAUAAUCAUGAAAUCAUCUAAAUCACUUUUCCAGCUAAGGACCCCCCUGCAAUAUUCUUGAGAAACAAACAGCACUAGUUCAUACUAUUAAGACAAUUAAAGUAUCUACCUUGUUUGCCCACACAAGUCCACAUGCAUUACAUAAGGUCCUUGGUCCAUCAGGCCCACGGCGCAUCAUUGGUGUAGACUUUGCACUGAUGCCACAGUGAUGGCACCUGUUCAAAUUCAAAAGACAUCUACAUCAGGUCUUGAAGCUUCAGAAAAUUUCCAAUAUUGCAUGCAUCAUAUAUUGUAUAUAAAUGGACUAAUUGAGAAACACAGACAAUUCAUGAUGACUGCUGAUUACCAUUUUUUUCUCUGAUGCUAAUCAUCAAAUAGAUAUUACAUAGGCACCAAAUUAAAGAUAUUCAACUGAUAAUUUGACAUAAUUAACAUUUAAUGUACAGAAAUACACCUAGCCUGUCGCCUGAACCAAACAUAUCAAGCUGAUGUUUGUAUUAGCAACGAGUAAUUGCUGACUGGAGUUCUCGAAAAGUGAUUUGUAUUAGCAUCUGGGCUUUGGUGUUAAGUAAUUUUCUUCACUUUCAAAUUCGACCAACAUUUGGACAUUUUGACUCUUCUAAUUUAAAAAUUGGAUUCAAAGUACUAAAAACAAUUAUCUAAUUAGAAAAUUUCCAGCAUAUUCUUCUCUCUCUAUAACAACUUAAGUUUUUCUUUUAAACAAACUAAUUCCACAACUAGCUACCUCCUAUAUUGUCUCAACUACCAAAAUUUCAAACUUGUGAAAAAUUCAAGAAAAUUGAAAUCACUUAAAAUAACAAAACAAAAUCAAUUUGAACUAUGAGUAUUUAACUAAAUGAUGUUAUAGUGAAACUGGUAGUCGAGUCCAAAACUUACGCAGAUGCUCCCGGGGUCUUGUUCUCUGGUGAACCCCAAUUUUGGUUUGCAUCAGUAGUGGUAGCACCACCAGUGGAAUCUUCAGCUUUCGAUUUGGAUGAUGUAAAUUGACCCCUGUUUCUUUGCAUCCUGUAAGAAGUUCAAAGAGAAAUUAAAAAUCAUGGCAAAACUAACAGCAAGGAACAGAGAGAGAGAUACAAUUGUCUAUAAUUGUAAACCACAAUCUUGGCAAAACUAAUAAGUCACAACAACUGGUACACAUCAGUGGUAUAUGAUUGUAACCUACACUACUAGGCAAAUAGCUUAACAUGCAACACUUGUAUAUGUCACAUUCUUACAGUUAUAUGCAGCCAUUACAUACAUGUAACAAUGGUCAUGCACCCAAUAUGUUUCCCCUUACAAUAACAAUCAAAAGAUAUGUUUCUAUCAAAAACAAAGUCAAAUCUUUUAGUAUUAUUAACAGAAAAGUGAAAAAACAUAUCGACUCUUCUAAAUACUAUAAAAAACAACGUCACCUCUGUUAUUAUUAUUAUCAGAAAAUUAAAAGCAUAUCCACUCUCAUUAUCAUUUUUAUAUUGGGUAGUGAGUAACAUAAUACAUUUGUAUAAGAGGGAUUUUUAUGGUAUUCUGUUGAUAAUUCAAUCAAAAAGUUCCCAAACAACUGUCAUCUCUCUCAGACAGGACACCACAAACUAAUGGAAUCCAAUUAUCAUCCUUUAUAUCCAAGACAUAACCAGGGACUUAGAUCAAACUUCCUGAUUUUUCAUCAGCUCCAUUAAUUACUUCCCUGAUCAGGAAGGUUAGAUGGAACUGUUCUUUACUUCAUUAGGUAUCAAAUUAAAAGCAAAACCAUCCAUAGUAAGUACAUAAUCAGCAAACCUUUGCAAAAUCUACUUUCAUUUUACUCAUGGUUGAUUUUUCUGCAAAUGAAAUUUUCAACAAAGAGUACACUGGCAAAACAUGUGAACUUGCCUCAGGCUAUUAAGAAACACUUGUAAAACAAAAGCAGUAAUGAUUUAAGAUAAUGCGACCUCCUACCUCAGUGCGACCUCCUUCCGAACAGUGUACCGUAUUUUCUUUUCAAAAUUUCUCUCUUUCCGCUUCUCCCGAAAGCGCAUCAAGGAUGCAACCCUAUGGGGAAUAUUCACACGCUGUCAUGUCACAAAGCAACUCAACUAUUAGACACUAAAAAUGCCCGCGUCAUGAACUAAUUGACAUGCUGGGAGUCGUAAAAGAUACCCUGUUUUGUACAGAAGUUGACGGAAAAGGAUUCAGGCCAGUAUGCAUCUCACGGCCUCCAAGCAACAAGAGCACGGCUUGAACCUACGAAGUUAAACAGACAAGAAACAAAGAGAAACACGAAUUUAUUCAGCAAGAUUCUAUCUUUGAGACUGAAGGUAGUCAAUCACAUACGAGGUAGAAAAAACGUCACCUUUUCUGGCGAGACGGAAUCGAAAACAUAAACAUCGCCUUGGAACGACAGCGUGAGCUGAUUCCCGCCCACUUGCGGCGAGAUCAGGGUUUGGGCAUCACCCAGAUGGCUCGGAUCAGACGGCCCUUCCGUCUCCAUCCCCUCGUGAUCCAUGGCCCCAACCCCGUCCUCCUCCAUACCGUGGCCGACGCUGCCACUGCUGUGAUCCGCAUCGUGGUACUGCUGCAAGGCCUGCGCGUCGGCGGCAGCGAUCAACUCUCCGUUACGGCCACUGGCACCAUCGAUGUGGGCCGUGAGGGCCGCGGACGGCAGGGCCUGGUGGUCGGCCGCCGUUAUAUGGAUGUGGUGGCCCGGGUGCUCGCUCAUCCCUGGAUCUCUCUCGCGGGCUCGAAUCCUCCCCAGCCUUCCAAAUUUUGGUGAAAGAGAUCAAGAAGACAACCAAAGGACGAGAUUUACUGACAACAAAACCACGGAUCCCUCAGUAGAUUUGGGAUCGAUCGACCAGUUGGAGCAUCGGGCCAGCAACCCACUACCUCCGGAAAUGCCAACCAUUCAAAAGCUUUCAGAAGGAUAAAGGAAGAAUCGAUCGAAGAAGAACCCUAACUUGCUUCAACCAAUCUGAGACCGAGGAAGCCCUAGAACGAGAGGGAGACGACAAAGUUAUGUGCGCAUACUAACAUAGAAUCAUAUGCGGACGGCAGAUCCGACGACUCCAGUCCUUCAAUAAAUCACACUCGUCCGUUAAGCUGAGGCAUCUUGAUUCCACCAUCCCACAGAAUUUGUAUGCGGACAAUAAAUCCGUCCGUUCAUCUCUAAAAAUAUCAGUUUCAGAUCAUUAUGGACGGUCAAUAGCACCCGCGUAGAGAUUUAUUUGUACCAGCUUGCAUACGUCAGUCCGCACGCUAACGAAAUCGACGCCGCUCGUACCAUACUCCGAGCGUACGUGGCGAACCCCACCGCGGAGAUUCCUGUGCGGCGCGAGUUACGUGGACGGAGGGGAUGCUUUCGAGGCGAGAACCAACGGUAGAUCGAAGCUUUUUAUGAGGCUAUUUAUGCGGAAUUGUGACGUCCGUAAUACGUCAGUGCCAGCGAGUUGAUCUAGUCUGAGAUAACGGCCACGUCAUGCAUUAUGAUUACCGCGGUAAACUUAAGUCGUUGGAUUGCUGAUCGAGGAGGAUCCGGUUAUUCAAUAAAUAUUUUAGGGGUAAUUCUGUCAAACUGGGGAUCAGAUCUGCUGUUUGGAUCCGAUCCAAAGGAUUGUUGGUUCUGGUUUCCCUCUUGCCCUUUGACUUCUUUUCUUCAAAUCAUUCGUCGGCAAGUCUCCUAUUGGCAAAGAGUGCUGGUCCCACUGACAUGGGCCACAGUCGGCUCCAACGGUAAGGAAGGUGGGUGAGCGGGUGUCCAUGAUAAUUGUCCUUUGACGACCGCCAGCGCUGCGUGCAGUCCAACGCCGCUCCCGCGAUUUCUUCUGCGGAAGGACGAGAAGGGUUAGGGUUAGGUCUGCGAUGGUGGAGGGAGAAAGGUCGGCGGUGACCGACGAGGCGUCAGCGGCAGAGGGGAGGGUGGAGGUGGGACGGCCCGCGGUGUUGCUCGUGUGCGGGAGCCUGGUGUACUACCACUGCGCGUUCCGCGGGUCGAGUCUUCUAUCCCUCGUCUCCGAUGUCCUUAUCGUUCUCCUCUGCUCCCUCGCCAUCCUCGGCAUGCUGUUACGCCAGAUGAACAUCUCGUAAUGCGCCGUCCCCCUCCAUCUUUAUAUCAUUUAGUAAUUUAUUGUCAGUUUAUGAUCGAAGUUGAUUCCAUCGAUGAAGAUUUAGUUUCUCCAAACGUAAAGUUACCAAAAAUUAGUUUUUGCGAUAUACACAGUUAAAUUUGAGAUUUUAUUGGAAACAAUUGCAAAUAGGAGUUAUUGCAUAUUUGUGCUGAUAAGUAAUGAUUAUGUUAGAGCUUCUUGUUUAGCAUCUUCCACUGAUUUUUUCAAUGAAGAAUGAUUGGUGGAGCAACUCAUAACUGUCUAAAUCAUUUUCUAAGACGGGGAGGAGUUUCCUUAUAAUCUUAAAUUAGAGUUCUGCUAUGAUCAAAAGGUGGAGAAAUGAAGAAAAUUUAAUCCUCAGUUGUGUUUUUUAUUGGUAGUGUGACUUUGGCAUGGAUGCCAAUGUAUUGUUCCUUGGCGUUGAAAACCCUUGCAGUUGAUACACUUGUGAUUUAAAAAGGGACAUUUCGAGGUUUCUUAAUAAUUCUCAAAUAUGUUUAUUGAAAAGAAUAAUGGCUCUAAGUGUCACACUGAUACUUUCUUGCUUGAGUUUUGUCUUCUGAUACUGAAUGGUUAUAUCUUAUUUCUGAACUUUAUGAUAAGAGGUUUUUCUUUGCUAAUGCAUCCAUAUCUUUCAUGAAUCUUCUUAGGGUACCUGUGGAUCCUCUUGAAUGGCAGAUAUCACAGGACAUGGCCAACACCAUUGUUGCUUGCUUGGCCAAUACAGUUGGAGCAGCAGAGUCUGUGUUAAGGGUUGCCGCAACAGGGCAUGACAAGAGGCUGUUCCUUAAGGUAAUUAUCUCAGAGCUGCAUGAUAUUGUGUUGUGGCAACUACUUGUGAUUUCUUUAUUUUAUCAUCAUGCUAAUUUGAUGGACACUACUAUUUUGUUAUUGAAAUUCUUUGACCAGUUUUUUCCUCUAAAAUAUUAGCACAUUUUUUCUGGUCGGGAUUUAAAGAUAGGCUGCCUUCCAUUCCUCUUAAAUGAAGAUUCUGUCAUUGUUUGAAGAUGUUAAAUAUGUUUUCCAUACUUCUCCUUCAGCAUGUAAGUUUGAAGGUAGAUUUUUCACACUGUAUAUGCAUGACUAAAGUAGGAUGCUACUUUUUAGUUUAGUUAUUGCUAUCAAUAGGAGUGUAGCGAAAAAGUAGAUAAUCUUAAAAAUAAAAUUUACUAAACAAAAUAAUAAGGUUUCUCUUAUACAUAGUGAUUUUGACGUCUAUACAUAAUUAUAACCUCUAACCAAAAGAAUAACACACAUGCAUAAAAUGUCCAAAAUUUAUACAUAUAAAUUUGUCGACAGGUCAUAGUCUAUAUGUGCACUAGCAUGGGCUCGCACAUUCUCACUUCCCUGUCCAAUCGCUUGGGUGGAGUACUAGUAUCCUUAUCUGCAAAAUAAGAACUAUAGUGAGUAAUCACUCAGUGAUUAUAUGUCUUUAUAGCUUUAUUUAGGUGAGCAUGUAUUCUAUCAUGUAUACAACAUUUUAAAAUCAUAGGCAUAAGAUAUUUAAUAGUAAACACAUCAUCCUAUGACUUCUUUAGCAAGCAUAACCAUACAACAUAGUAUAUGCACAAUGAAAAGAUAAAAUUUUACAUCGAAAUAACUUAAAAUGCUUAUAUGCACAUGUAAGAAUCAUGGCACAUUCAUGGACUCCUACACCCCAUAUCAUAACCUAUAUGUGCAUUCUCACACUACACAUCAUCAUAAUAUAUACGUGCAAUCUCAUACCACAUAUCAUCGUAAUAUAUACGUGCACUCUCAUAUCACACAUCAUAAUACAUAUGUGCACUCUCACAUUGCAUGUCAUAGCAUAUAUAUGCAUCAGACAUCGUAACACAUCCGUGUAUUUUCACAUUGCACGUUAUAGAAAAUAUGUGCACUCCCACACCACACAUCAUCAUAUAUAUACAUUCAUACAAUACAUUUUCAUCGUAAUUCAUAUAUUUCUAUACUUACAUAAUAUGUAUAUUAACAUUGAGCUCAUGCCUAGCUCAUGACAAUCAUAUUAUUCAAAACAUGCUUUCCAAAAUGCAUUAUGAAUAUAAUAAUUUAUACGAUCUCUAUUUUACAGUGAAUUAAACUUAUACUUACCUGAUUUAACCCCAAAUGAAGAUGACAGUGAAAGACCACAUUCCUUAAUGACCACGUGUACUAAGAAGCGGUACACCUAUCAAAUUAGGAGCAUUGGGUCAUGAGAUACCUUAAUUAAAAACCCUACAUCUUGAAUUAUUGAUUUGGAAUAAUCCAUAGCGAUAACUCAAAAUUUUUUUGAUAAAAUCCCUUCUUAAAUAUACUAUACUCAACUUGAAGAUUUAUCUAAAUUUGACCAUUAAUUUUUCAACAAUUCAUUCUAUAAUAAAUUGAACUAGUUAGUAUCAAUUAAAUCAUCGCAUAAUUCUGUGAAGCUAUUUUACUUCACUAUUCUAACUGACCAAGUGAUCUUAAUUUCCAUAAAAUUUUACAGAAAACUCAUAUAAAACAAAAUACACAUCAAAUUUCAGCUUAAAACAUAAUUACUUGGAGGCUAAACUAUUCUCCCAAUUCAACUAUCAAUACUUAUUUUGUUAUGCUAAAAUUGGGUUGGGAUUAUUUGAACUUAUAUCUUGGUGCACAGAGAUGGUAUUCAUUAAAUUCCAAACCCACAUAACCCUAAGGGAAUCUUUUAAAACAUAUCAAAAGAAUAAAGCCUAAUCAUAUCCCUAAGGGGGUUCAUUCAGCUCAAAAAGGACCCCUUCUCAAUAAACAAGAGAUUCUGAAUUUCUCAGAUUGAGACACUCAUAAGUCUAUGCACUAAUCUUAGAUUAAAGUUAUACCAGAGACCUUAGAACCAUAAGAGAUUUAUACAAAACAUAUCAAAAAAUCAAAGAUUAAUUCGAAGCCUAGGUUACUCAAAAGCAACUGAAAAGAUCAGUUUAUAAUUUGUAAAAUUAAAAUCCUAGGUAUAGCAAGGGAAGAAUUGAGUUUUUUUUUACCUCGGUCUUCCUUAGAGUUGGAGUUUCUUUGCCUCCAUUAAAACAUAGUGAAAGCUGAGAGAAUGGCUAAAGAAAGAGAGAAAUGAUCAUAGGUUAUCAGGUGGGUAAGAAGGAUGAGGCCAAAAUAGGGUAAAGGUGUUUAAGAGGCUACCUUGAGGUCUAGGGUUCAAUCUUAUUAAAUCUCAUUUCAAGUUUUCUUUUUUCUUUUCUUCUUUUGAUAAUAUAAUUUUAAUAUUGCAGCAAUUUCAAUUGAGUCUUAUUUGGUUUGACGAGAAUGACAUGUUUCGAUCUAAAUUCAUCCUUCAAUCACACUUAUGGAUCUCAACAUUUUUAGUGUCACACAUUUUUAAUUUUUAUUUUCAUUUAAUUUUUCAUUACUCCAUCCAUGCCUAAGUAACCUAUUAUUCUCUACCUAUAUGAUGUUUAAAACUCAAAACUUUUUAUUUUAAUUAUGGUCAAAUUCAUCCAGCCUUAAGAUUCACUUAAGGUCGAUUAUAAUUCAAUAAUCACUUUUAAUCACUAUAUGCAUAUUUAUUAUCAUAACUUAACCUCAUACUUAAGUCCACUAGCAUACUUAGGCUUGUUGCGUCGAACGACCGUGCCUUUUUGCUAUAAAAUAUUCUUAAAGUAGACAUUUAUGCUUAUACAUGCUUAACCAACAUUUUGUAGAAUACUGUGAAUCAAGGUCUGUCAUAUCGAAGCGUACCGCUCGAUACGGGCAGUACGUACCGGUUCGACAGGUUACCGAUACGCGGACCGCCCGGUACCGCUACAGUGCUACAAUAUAAAAAUAUAAAAUUAUUCGGUACACCAGGGUGUACCGCUCGGUACGCCCUGAUGUACUGCUCGGUACACCAGUACCGUACUGUACCGAGCCUGAGUCGAAACGUUGGUACGGUAUGGUACGGCGAACCUUGCUGUGAAUAAUAUUUUUGGAAAGUAUGUACUUCAAUCUUAAAAAUUGAAAACAUGAGCAUAUCAUUUAUCAUAUUUAUAAAACAUAAACAUCAUAAAUCAUAUUACCAAGUGAGGAUAACAUAUACAUAUUAUUUGUGCUUCUAUUAGCAUGCUAGUUAUAAUUCAGUAUGUGUAAGACUCGGGCACUACAGUUUUCUUAUUUCAAUUUGUCUCCAAUAUGUAAAAUAUUCUACUAUUUUUUGCCUCUUAAUAUCACCCAGCCUUCUCUAGUUUGUACCAUUUCAGUUUCAGGCAUCUACAAACUAUUUCUGUGCGGCAAAUGGUUUGUGUAUCAUAUCCGUGAUUGACUUGCUGAAAGGUUAUUAUACUGGUCUGUCUCAGUGAUGAUUUGGAGUCAUGAAUUAACUCCGACUUUGUAUGUUCUUAAGCCAGACAAUGAAAGUUCUACUCAUCAAGCCAAUUACUGAAAUUUUAACUAAAGACUCUUAAUCCAAUUGCAUUUUUCACUUGGUUUUUUUUAUUCUAGUGGAAUGCAAUACUGGCCAUCCAAUAUGAUCUGAGUUAACCUACCAUGAGAUAAGCACUAUAACCGUUUUUUUCAAGCCAAUUUGUUCUUCUCCUCUCCAAAAGCCUUUGGUUGAAUGAGCUAGAAGGAUGGCUGCAUGGGACUUCAUCAUACAGAGGUUUUCUUUAAAUGGAUCCGGUUCACUUCCCACCGAUUGGAUUCCUUUUUGUUGGUCCCUCGUUUGGAACCUUUACAGGAUGCUAGAUCAUAAAGAAACCUCCUUUUGACUAUUGAUAGAUUAUUUUCACUUUCUUUUUCCUUGAUUAAAUUAUGUGAAACCUAAUAAUUGAACUUAGUAUGCUAGCUUUACACCUUUGAGCAGCUACAUGUCUUGAUUGCACAACCUUGUUUUCAAUUUGGAAAUAUUAAGAUUCUUUAUACCUUCCAAGCACUGACUUGGUAGCCCCUCACUUUGCACUUAAGAUUUUGAUUUUUAGCAGAAACUGAUCCAAACCAUUAGCACGCAGAAGGAAGAUAGUUUUCGUGUGUCUUGGGUGCCUGGUACACCUCUGCAUCGAAAGGCGCCAUAAUAUGAUUAUUCAUCUUACUUGCAUUUCAAUUUUUUAUUUUUUGAACUUCUACUGAGCUCUCAUCUGAAUUAAAUUAAGGCAGAACAAAUGCAACCAACUUUUCUGCAUUACCUUGCAGUCUCUUUAUUUUGCAGGUGGUUCUCACUCUCUACCUCUUGUCAACUUUGGGACGAGCAGCUUCAGGUGUUACAAUUGCUUAUGCUGGUAAAGUUCGAACGAUGUUGCUCUUUACUCUUCAAUUUUGUUAACUUACCGUCUUAACUUCACGUGAGGGUUAUGGUUUCUACGUGAAAUUCAAAUUAGCCCUCAUAAUGACAUUGCGAAUCAUCUAUGAGUUGUAACUUUGCUUUCAUUAUCUUCGACUACGGUAAGCUGAUAACCGUACAGAUGAACUGAUCAUUUAUCCUUGUGCAACAGGAUUGUGCUUGUUAUGUCUCUACUUCUUUGCGCGAAGUUUGGAGCUCAUAUCCAGGUGCACUUCUCAGUUCUCCAAGAGAAGCGACUCUUCAGCCGGAGAUCAAGAUGUCAUGUAACAUUAACAUUUACACAUUUACCUUCAAGACUCUUUCUUCAAAGGUUGAUUCCAAUUUCUAUGGACUGCUUCCAAAAACUCUGGUUAAUUCCAUUUGGUUCACUGCAAUGUGACUGUGUAUACACAUUUACAUUAUGAAAGAUAACUCCAGAAAAUAAAUACCAUCUCUUAUGUUUUCAUGUAUUCCACCUUACAGCUCUUAAUUGAGGCUAUGGUCAUGAGUCAUUUCUAGUGACUGGGUUUUCUCAGCUCAAAGUUAGAUUUUCUCCAUCUCUUGCAUCAUUUUAGUGGAUAGGUGUAGUGUGCUCAAUGUCAUACUAUAAGAAUCUAAUAUUGCUUGAAUGGAAGGAGUAAAUUAAUUAGAAAAUAAAUAUCAACUACAGCAUUUGAGCAGAUCAUGUGGUUCCACACAUCCAAUUGAUCAAUCAAGUCAAGAAAGGAAGAUAACUUUUUCUUUCUUAUGACUACUUUCACAUCAUUAAUGAUCAGGCAAUUUAAAGGAUAAGUGGAUGAACAAUUUCAGUGAAGAAAUAAAACAUUUUGUCUUGUGGUUCCACACAUCCAAUUGAUCAAUCAAGUCAACAAAGGAAGAUAACUUUUUCUUUCUUAUGACUACCUCCACAUCAUUACUGAUCAGGCAAUUUAAAGGAUAAGUGUAUGAACAAUUUCAGUCAAUAAAUAAAACAUACAAGGAACAAAUUAUUGGGACUAUCAACACAUACAAGGAUCAAGAAUGUCAUCACUCCUAAAUAAAAGCAAAAUAUUACACUUACCUUGCUCCACUACCUCUUCUUUUCAUAUUCUUCUGCAUUUCCUUCUUCAGAAUCAUAGAAAAAAUAUGCAUAAGAAUCAUAGAGAAACAGUCACUAACUUUCACAACAAAGCAUCCAUGCUAAUGCACAGUCUUCCGAAAACAAACUGGUAAAAGAGAAUGAUAUUUUUCACAUUGGAACAAUGGAGUCGAGCAAUAAACUUAUACAUAGCCACUUUGUUCCAGUUGUUGGUUUAAACAUAGCAGUCCCUGAGGAACAAGUGGACGAAAAACAAAAGAAGUAACAAAGUUUAAAUGUGGUGAAAUAUGUGUCGUGUUGUAGUGGUUUUGCGAUACCCUACAUUGUAUGGAACAUUCAAUAUGACAUAUACAGCUCAAAUGAAUACUUGUACAUAACAUGAACCAACUUAAAGUAGGCUGGAUCGAAUGUGUCUUGAUGGCAUCGUUGGUGCAGGGAAUAAACACAAAGCAAUUCCUCAGACACUUUAGUACAAGCCUUGACUAAUCCCCGUGAUGGAUAGGCGUCAGUGAAGGACAUCAUGCAGCAUAGACAACAGAGCAAGUGGGUAACUUCAGGCUGGAAUUAGAGAUCUUGCACGUAUUAUUUUGUAUGUGCUAUGGAAAACAACCCACUUCUGACUCUUAAUGAUGGUGCAGAACUUGUGAUCUGCUGCCAGAAAAGGUUAACUACCAAGAAGAAAUAUCUAGAACGGUUUUGGCACACUUGUAAAAUGUAUCUAUUGAGCAGAAAUCAAAUGCUUCCUGCGUCACCCUUUAAGAUUUCAAUCCAUCAUAUCAUGUGUAAGAUCUGGUAGGAGCACCUUCCAAAGGCAACCUGCACUCACAAUUCAACCAACAUGCAGAAGCAUUUUCUUUAACUUUUUGAAGAUUAACACAAUCAAGGAACUCAGUAAAUGACAUAAUUUAAGCAAAGUCUUCUCCAGGAAACACAAAAAAAAUUCAUAGGUAUUAAAGCAGGGACUAAGGAAUCACUCCUUAUGGUCACUAUAAAAAGCAAGUCUCCAUAAAACACGACAAAGUGUUCUUUUUUAACUUCUAAUAAUCCUAUCUUUACUACUAGACAUCCUAGCAAGACUAAAAUUUAGUGUCAUGUAAAUUACAGAUUUUGGUUUUUCAAGUAAAUUCUGCAUCUACCUUUUGCCUCUGCUAAAUCAGACAUUUGAUAGGCAUCAAGAAAUUAUUCAAGUUUGUACUAAUGCAAUGUUGCAGGUCACAACUAGACAUAUGUCAGCGGACAAAACUGAAAUGCUUGGCCCAUUUGAAAAAUGAAACUAUUGACUAGAAAUCGAUCAAAUCUAAGAUACUAAAACAAAAGAACCCAUAUAAUUUGUGUUGACAAUUUUAGGCAUGAUGUAUUUACUUACUGGUAAACAUAUGUACUGCCAAUAUGAAAGUACUUCUGUUUUUGGUACUCUGAAAUUAGUAGAAUCCCUUGGAAAGAAAAUUGAUAGAAAUAUGGUCACAGAUUUUGCAAUUGGAACAUCAGAGGGAGGCAAAAGUUGGUGGUCAUCGUUAUUGUAAAGACUUUCAAGGCCAAUUGUCUUGCAGGGGCCUAAGGACAGUCAUGGAGCUGUAGAGAGUAGAAAAUUCAUUUUAGAAGACAAUCCAAAUAGUAAUGAUCAAACAUGUUUUUCACGUAGGUUUUAGGUAUAUCUUUUCAAGAAUAAAAGGUAGAAAUAAUGCCACACACAUGUUAUUUCCACAUUUUCUCAUUCUUAUUCAGUUUAAGCAGCAGUUUUUGCUAAACAAAUCAUAUAUGAUCUUACCCAACUAAAAAGUGAGAACAAGAUGGCUGCGACUAAUGCCGCUUCAUUUCUUGGAAAAUAUUAGACACAUUUGGGGACAGCCUCGGAAGGAACCUGAAUAGCUGCACAGUGGACAAGACAGUCAGUAUGGAGAGUAAAUAUUGAUCCUUAAAGGUCAAAUUGAGACCAAAGAAAUAAAAACUGGUAUUUAAAAUAAAUUAAAUAAUAUUAUGUCCCAGAGUCUGGAACAGUGAGUUAUUGAAGUGAAACACUUCUUAUGCAUAUUGGGAAUUACAAUGGUACUCCAUAUGAUGGCAUCAAAGGUGACAAAGUCUCAGCAUUCCUAGUAUUAAUAGCUAAUAGACAUGCACUCAUUCGUGUCAACAUUCAUAUGACACAAAAAUUCCAGAAAAUUAUCCAGUUACCGACAGAAUAUUUACCAGAAGUACACAUUUCAAUAGGUGUCUGGUUAGUACAUAUAUUUACAUGUAUCAAUGCAGUGAUAGCAUGCAUUUUAUUCUGUUGAAAGAGAGUCUGCAAAAGCUACUUAAAGGACCUACCCAAAGCUUCACACAGGCAUCAAUCACAACUGGAACUGAGCAAAUGAAAAUGGUUAUUGCAGCUUUAUCAAUUUCAAGCCCAUAAUGCUCAAGAAUAAUCUCUAUCAAAGCCUGCCAACCAGACUCAGAAUGAUACCUGCAUUUGGGUGUUUUUUCAGUUAUUAACUAAAUAAAAAUGUAAUUCUUAUUGUAACAAGCAUGAUCUACAUAUGAAAGUGUGAAUAUACAACACAUUAUAGAAUUGUUCAUCAAUGCAAUUCAAGAAUUAAGAAUAAAGUGAUAAUUGGUUACUAGGAAAAUCUAGUGCACUGUUUGUUGUUUAAUUCACCCAAACAAAAAGAUGACCUUAAAAAAUCAUCUUUAGUAGGAAAGAAGGCUUAAAAAGGAAUCAAGAAGUUUGGAUUAGGACUUAAGUUUCAUGUCAGGAAUAAUAUACAUGUUUGGUGCUGGUAACCAUUGUUGUGUAUUUUGAUAAGCUUCACAAUGUUUCAGCUGAUCAACUGAACCUCACAAGGUUGUAUAUAUGAAGCAGAUAUGUUCUUAUUCAGCAUGAUAUUUAUACAGAAAUUGACAGAACUGAAAAAAUAAAAAUUUUAAAAAUGGGACUGAUGGUAAAACUUUGCACUUUGCAGAAAAGAUUGAAAAAUGCUACCUUACAGAAUCAAGCUUCAGCUGCUCAAUUACUUUGACGAGUAGCAUAAAAAGCAAGGAGAACACUCUAUAGUAGCACAAGGUUUCAUAAGCACACAAGGAACUGGUGGUAUUCAAAUUAAUGAAAUAGAAGUAUCAUGAACAAGCAUCACAACAUUAUCACUUUACAAAUUUGGAAGGACUCAAAGAUGAUAUAGCAUUAGCAACCCAAGCAAUCAUUAGUACCCAUAAUAAAAAUAUAUGAAAAAAUAAUUGACAACUAAUUGGUAAAGGAUAACCUUAUAAAAAUUUAAAAAUAGAGAAAAUAAAAAAUGGUAACUUUUAUCAAUGUGGACGUUCAAUAAACUUUUGUUGUUCCUGGAUAUAAUUAUGAUAGAUGAGAUCAGGAUCCAUUGUGACAAGAACGUCAAGACAUGUUUAUUAUUUAAAGUAAACCAACCAAAUAUGCUUAUACAGAUUGUGUUGUAUCAACAAAGGGGCUUCAUGGUGAAGAUCCAUGACACAUAUGGCUUUAUUUGACACCAUGAUGUUUGGUCAUAUCAGUUCAAAUAAACAGCCUUUAGCUUUCAAUUGUGAAGGAAUUGGAGCAAAUAAGUGCAUAAAUUCAAAUACCUUACCCCAAAAAAAUAUCUGUGAUUAAAAUAAUAAGGAAUGCUUUCCCUGUGUCUGAAAUGUUAUUUAGUAGCUUAUAUCCUGUAAACUUUAGCAAAGCAACCUGAAGAAACAAACGCAAUUAAUAUGAGAAAUCUGUAGAUAAUUUCCACAGUAACAUACACACAGUGAAGCACACAAACAAAAAGGAGAAUGCAACCUAAGGAAAUAUAGCAUGCAAGCAUUACCAUCCCAUCUUCUAUAAUCAAUUGACAACAAAAAUACCACAAUAGAGCAAACACCAAAUUACGACUAAAACAAAAUAAAUUUGUCAAGUAAAUUUGAGUAUCAUGUGAACUAAACCUUAAAAACUGUACCAUGUGAUAUUAAAAAAGUCAAAAAAUUUAUGUCCGAACUAAUAACUACAUCCAGAGGGCAAUUAUCCUCACCUUGACUUCUGCCCAUGGUCAACUGCUUGACACUUCAACUGUGUUACCAUUUGAUAAAGCCUAAUGGUAGAGAGCACUCAGAGCAGUACAUGUAUUUUUAAGAUCUUGUUAUUGAUGUUCCUAGACAUCAAUUGGUUAUUAACUAGACAUUGCACCAGAUUGAUUUAAAGUAUGCAAUUUAUACUAGAUCCAGUCGAUCCUGUGCCUCAUCCCUCCAUGGUUGUUAAAGCCACUUAAAUCAUAUCAAGAAAUGAUUACACAAAUCAAUGGCUUAAUUUUACCAUAUAAAUACAAUUACAGAUAUAAACCCUUGAACCCAAAUAAAAAAUGUGUAUAGAUACCCUAUAAAGAUCAAUGCGAAUUCUCUGAGGCAAGUAGACUUAUUGGGUCAUGUACUAAGUAGCAUACUCACUUUGCUCUUAUUGAAGUAGAUAAGAAUGAAUAAUGUGAUGCUAUACACCAUGUCUGACCAAAUGUUUGCAAAUGCUUUUCGGUUCUCUAAUCUCCAUUCAUCUCUUAGAUCUAUCCUGAUAAAACAACAGAAACAAAAUCAUAGAUAUCAUAACAUAUUUGAGAAGGAUCUAAUGUAAUAGAUAAAGUUCCAACUAUCCAAUAUAGAAGUAAUAUUUUCCAGCCAGUGGAUAAUUACGUACAAUUAUUACAAUGUAUAAAGUGGAAAACAAACAAGAAAAGCAACCGUAAAAGAGAUAUAUAGAGAGAGAAAACCAUAAUGAAAUAUAUCUAUAAAAAGGAUGCUUUAUUAGACUACACAGGACAAUUGGCUUAAUCUAAAUAAAUAAUAUAUCAGUAAAUUAGCACAUGUUAUGGGCCCUCAACAAAGUAUCCCCAAUGACUUGAUAAAUCUUGACUGCAAAAAAGAUAACUUGAGCCUUGGUGCAAUGAUAGAAUAAUUGGAAGUUCACUUGUCUCCCCAGUAUGUAUUCCAGUCACCAUUGCUCUAACAUGCUGCAUGCACAGCCUUCUUACUGAUUACUUCUAAAUGGAACAUUAUAACAACACUAACAACAACAUGAUAUAAUGUCUUAACAACAACAAACUAUAAUGUCCAAUUAUUUGCGAGUGGCUAUAUGGAUCUUUUCAGCCUUAAGUUUGGUUUAUGACAAUUCCAUUAAUCAAUCUAAGAGCAAUCAAUUUUUUUAUUAUUCAUAAUAUAGUUUAUUAGGUUUCUCUCUCUCUCUCUUUGCAUCACUAAUCUUAAAGGGCUCAACUAGUCUAAUCGGUGCAUCUAUAGGUCUUCUUUAGACAUGCACAUAUAAUCUUGAAAUAGUUUUCUCUCAUCCUAUCAUAUGUCAGAAUAACAAUAUGUAAUUGUUCAUGAAUAUAAGCAUACUAUGCUAAUGUUUAUUUUAACCUCACACAUAUGAAUCAAUAUCUUCAUCUCAGAAGUUUACAUAUUGUUUCCUAACUGCCAAACAUGUUAGGCAAUAAAGCAUAACAGCCUAACUUUCUUGUUGUUUCCGCUUAAUCUAAGGGGUACACAACAAUCAUAUAAAACUGUCAAUGUCACUCUCUACACUAAUCAGUCUGCCUAAAUCUAUGAAUGAUAUUAAAUUCCCCUUUCUACUGAAUUAUAUGACCAAGAUCUUAAAAACUUCUACUUCAAGGAGCUGUUUCAUAUUGAACUCUCAAGUCUCAACUCUUUUCUUGGCAUUAUUAGGUUUACACUUCAGAUAUUCAAUUUUGGACCUUUAGUCCAAAUGGUGGAAUGGAAAACAAACAUGUGUAAGUCAUGAUAUAUGUAACUUCUAAAAAAAAUAAACCACUCACUUCCAAUGUUAUAUGUAACUCUAUACAUUUACAAAAAUAUGCAAGCCAGUGCACCUGAAUAUACUCCUUGGUAAAAGAGAUCCAGAUGGUUCAGAAAUUAGUGGACUUAUCCUCAGGUCAUCCUGUCACUUUAAUGUUCUAUUGCCUUCAGAGAUGCUUUUUGUUUGGUGCAUACUACAUAUCUUGUUUUGUACUAGUAAAAUAACUAUAAGCAAUCAUUGGAAACACAAUAAAUAAGCUAACUGAAACCAACAAAAUUAGAUCAGAAUGAUAAAGAUAAACAUGGGUAUAUACUAUCUUUACCUGAGAAAAAAGGACUUAUGGCUAGAAAAAAAUCGAUGUAAUAGACCCUAAAAACAGUUGGGACAUUAUGGCUUGUUAUUAUUGUUGUUGUAGAGGGAUUUGAAAAGGAAAAUGGAACAUAGGUACUGCAAACAUUACAAACAUGGGUAUUCACACACUUAGAGGCCCAUGAACAAUCCUCAUUAACAUUAUACACAAUUACACGUUACCCAAAAAGUAUCAGAAUUGUUCUACCACUACUUAAAUAGAAGGUGCACUAGAUUAUAUCAAUCUUACGCUUUGUGCCGCAACUCCACCCAGAUGUCUUCAUCUGAAAGAGGAGGAGAUUUACCAAUCUCUACCUCUAAGCGCAAUCUUGCUCUCUCAAGCUUUAAAGUCUUUAUCAUCUCAAGUUUUUGUUGUCUCCUAACAUCAAGCAUCUCAGCAGCAAGUGGUACGGUCUUCACAUACCUAUUAUACACAAAAAGGGAAUUCAAACAUGUUCUCAGUUGAUUAAAUUUACAGAUUUAAUGGAAGGAAACCCAUACCAAGAAGACUUCCUUGUUGGUUUAGGCACAAAACUCACAAACAAGCAUGAAAGUCACGCUGGAUUGCGAAAGGGAUACAAGCAUUAGUCAAGGGCAAGUCCAAGACCCAUGGUUGUGCAAAUAUAGACACAGGACUGGCCCCAGCCUAUAUUUGUAUGUUUUCCAUGUUUGCUAGAGUGGAACAAGAAGUACUCUAAUGCCAUACCUUCCUGGAAUAAAUAAUUCUGAAAUUGUAGAACUAAGGUAUGAUCAUGCAAAGAAAAAUUUUACAGCCAAGAGGCAUUUUAAGAUUUAUUGAACAUGUAUAUGAAGUAAAACCACAGGUAACUAGCUUAUCAUCAUGCUCCUCUUAGCUGAUGGCUAAAUAUGUUCUAAGUUCAUGAAAAUAGACAAAGCCGCUUAUUUGUAUCUUGUUUGUUCUCCAUAAUAUUUUUGCUGCUUCUCAAUAUUAAAUAAGGUUUUAACACAAAUAAUGGUAUAAGAGCAACAACAAAAUUACAAUAUAAACAACACCAAAUUUGAUAUACAAUCAAUUUACAGAAAUUACCUGUCUAAGAAUGGCAUCAGGACAAAGUCAUGAACCACAAAGUCCAAUGCCCAUGGAACGAGAAUCAAUAAAGCAACAAAUUUUGCCUGCAAGCAGUCUAUUGCAUCAGUAAUGGUUGUCACAAAAGACAAAUAAUAUUAUGACAUGACCUCAACCACAAGUCUAGUAACAAUUUACCAUAAGCAAAAAGCUAACAAGAUCUCAGAGGCUAAUUAACCAGAAAUAUUAAAUAAGCUAUGUAGACUAUGCUUUAAGAAAUGAUGAAAUUCUAAAGAGAAUGUAAUAUGCAUAUUUAUGUUUCUGCCCUUUUCCUAGAAGUGUAGAACAGUGUAGGUUCAAUGUACGAAAACUGUGACAAUCUUGCUUUGUAUAAAUUAGUUGCUAACAAGUAAAUAUAUAAGCAUUACAAUAUGAGAUGCACAAAUUCUCUGCAGAAAUAACUCAUAAAACAGUAAUUUGCAUAGGUCUGUAGGCAUGUGAUUUUGUGCUGAGGAUGACAUAUAAUAAACAUGAGUGUACAUGAAGAUAAUCAUUAGAUGGAGAUGAUAUGUGGAGCCAUCAUCAAAUAGAGUACAUGAUGCUAAUAAACAAGUGUUAGGCAACCAGAAAAUAAUCGAAGAUAGAAUAUUGGUUAAAGAACAUAAAGUAGCCUAUAAAUCCAAAUUUUUUGCUUCAUAGAAACAACAAUUCACUUAAUAUGAUCAUGCAUUACUGAGAUUUUUUUUUCUAGAGAAACACAUCUUUACUAUGCAACAAGCUUCUUCUUUGGAAUGAUUAUGCUAAAUAAUCUUGGAUGAUUAUGCUAAUCUUUUCAACUUCAUCUAAAUCCCCGACCAGUGGCUAGAACCUAAUUUUGAGACAAAAGACAGAUUCCUGAAAACUCAACCUGUACUGAGUUCAAAUUCUACAGUAUGCAAAAUUGUACAUGCCAACCUACGAUUAGUUGGUUCCUCUACAUACCGAACUAGUCGAAGCAUACCGGAAAACUCUAUCCUCGAACAACAGUUCUUCAUCAUUCUCAGCAAUCGCAUCCUUAAUUGCUUCUACAAGACCCUUCUCCCGCGUUAUCUCCUCUGGGUCAUCGGCCACCUCGCUCGGAGGUCCGGCCGCUUCACCGCCCCAAUCCUGAUCCGAAGACGAAGAACCCCCGCCAGCAAGUUCAUCUCGUCCAAGCCAAUCUUCCCACGCUCGGCCCUCCGCAUUUCUCGCAUUCUCUUGUGAUUCACGGAGCUCAACGAUCGCCUCGGCCCUGCUCUUCCAAGCCUCAAAUCUCUCAUCCUCCGGCCCGUCCUUCUCUCCGUAAUCAUCGCCUACCCCGUCGACGCCGAGCACAUCCUCAGCACUCAAGCCGAACCAGCUCUCGUCGUCUCCGUCCGAGAAGAACUUCUGCCACCAAGAUCUCUUCUUGGGGUACCCCUUGUACUUACAAUUUCCAAUCAUUCGGGAGGCGCUCCGCCGUCGCCGACUCCGCUGAAUAACAAAAGCAAGCAUGUGGUUCUGCGCGCUACCGCGGGCGGGACGUGCAUCGCCGAGAAAGAAAACGAGAUUCCCGCGGCAAGCACUAGUCGAAGCGCUCAUCAAGGGCAUGAACGAGGCGCCGCAUGUUUCGCGCUCAUGCUACUCGUGCCGGCAACACGAUCACAACUGUUCCGGCGGAUUCGAGAAACCACAAGACGAAGGAGAAGAGGCGGGGACGCAGGACACCGGAGAUGAGGUCGAGCGACGAGAAUGGGGGAAGAGCUACGACAUGGAAUCGUUGGCGUCGCCGAUGGAGAACUAAUGGAACAAUGGAUAACGUAAUAUAUAAUAAUAUAUAUAUUUUUUAAAAUCAUGACUUCCUAAAUUGUUGCCCGAAAAUUCAUUUUUAUUAUAGAUAUUCAUACAAAACAUAUAUAUAUAUAUGUAUAUAUAUAUAUAUGUGUAUAUAUAUAUAAAUAAAUAUAUAUAUAUAUACAUAUCUAUAUAUAUACACACACACACACACACACACACACACAUAUAUAUAUAUAUAUAUAUAUAUAUAAUUUCAGAGGGAGAGAGAGAGAGAGUCAUCCAAUUCCCAAACGCGAGCUCGAGAAAUCGUCUGCUUGUUGGAGAAAUUAUCAUCCAAAUCUCUGGUCGCUUUGCGCAUGGAUGAUUCUUCCGAUCAAGAAAAGGACGUUAAUUACUCGUCGUAUCAUCAAGAAUGGGUUGAGUAUGCAUCUGUUUCUCGAGUCGCACUCCAUAGUUUGUUUUCUGCCCUUCUUUUUCGUUGUGGAUGAUCCAUGUCGAUUUCAGAGGGACGAUCUUUUGGCACGCAGAGCGCAGGAAUCGCUUAAGAAAAAACUGGUUCUUGAAGAUGAUUUCGCGUGGGGAGUGCCCUCGCAAGGUUUGGCAUCCGGGGAUGGGUCAACGAGGGAGAAGCUCAAGUACAUCGGAGGAGUCGAUAUAAGCUUCUUAAAGAAGGAUCCUUCGGUGUCGUGCGGUGCUCUUGUGGUGCUGGAUGCUGAUACUAUGGACGUUGUGCACGAAGAGUUUGAAGUUACCCGUCUGCAGGUUCCGUAUGUUCCUGGCUUUCUUGCAUUCAGAGAGGUAUGCGUUUCUUCGGUGCUGUAUUCUCAUCAGUGAUGCGUCAUUUGUGUCCAAUGUAUUCUCUUGGCGUGCUUAUUAUGCAAUUGAGGGGCUGUUCGCUGAGUGUCAGAUUACAAUGUAGUGAAGUACAUGUUGCGAGUUCAAAGACUGCAGAAUUAUAUGAUUGUGAGGCUAUCAGUUUAUAGCAUGAAUGCACUGUUUUACUUGCUAUAAAACCUUUCUUUGAUAGCCUUGAAACAUAUGGAGAAUCGCGCAAGAAUAAUAGCUUCAACAUUGUUUGCCAUAUAUUAUUUCAUCAAAAGGGCAUGCAAUGAUCAAUAAAUCUCUUUAAUUCGUUCUUGGACCUCUUUAAUUUGCGAAAUACACAUUUGCUUAAUAUGGUUGUCCCUGAAGAAGUGGUCCGCUGACCUCUUUGCCUGACUUCUCAGUUGGUUGUUUCCGAAUUAGCAUGACAGAUGCUAACUAUGACUGCUAUGUUAGUUUCCGAAUUAGUGGUCUGCUGACAUACUGAGCCAGAUGCUAACUAUGUCAAAUAUCUUUGUCUUGGUCGUUUCUUAAUUCUUUCUUUCCAUGACUGCUAUGUUGUUGGCCCCUACUUGGACUUCAAGUCUGGACCAUUCACUGUAAAGGCAUUAAUGCUUUAUGAGAAAAAUUGUUUACCCAGUCCUUGCUGGUGGCUUGUUGCAUCUGAGAUAGUAACUCUAGUUGCAACUGUACAAAACAUCUCCACCUCUCUUUUAACUGUGGUUGUGCAAUUCGAGUCUGAUUUUUUCUAAUCCCUUUGAUACUGGGUAAAGAAAGAGAAAAGAAUGGCAUGAAAAUAUUGUCAGUUGAAAACUCUACUACUUUUCUUACAUAAAUUGUUUAAUUUAAGCUAAGUUGGCUAAAAACAAUUUCAGUUUGAUGAUUUUGCAACUGUGGUGUAUACAAUGUUUCCGACUUUGCAAAUAUCAUAUAUGGGAUGUGUCUAUCUCUCUGUCAUAUAUGUUGAAAUUUACAAAUCAUUUUUUUGUGGUAUUGCAGGCUCCAAUGCUUCUGGGGCUUCUGAACAAAAUGAAAGCAAAUGCUCAUCCUUUCUAUCCUCAGGUAAACUCUCCAAGCAUUGGCUUAGCCAAAAAAGUGAUGAAACAAUUAGUUGUCUGGAUGUUACUGGUAAAUAAGUUUGCCAGUUUAGAAUUUUAUAAUGCAGUCUUAUUCAUGGCAAUAUGGCAAAUAAUUUAUUAUAUAUUCUUGAAACACCACAUUUGAAAGUUGGGUAUAAUCAAAUCAUAAAGACCAGGAAUAUGUAUUUAUUAUAACUGCAAAGAUCAUAUUGGACAUUAAAUGGGUUUGAUAGGUAACCGUGUCAUAUCUAUUGGACUGGAGAAAUUUGAUGGCUUGUCUCUUGGGAGGUAUGGAGUGAUAGCUGCAAGAAUUACAUGUUUUCUGACCCAUCCUCCAACCAAUGAAUGCAUGAACGGAUAAUAGCUUGUAUGCAACUUUGAUUUAACCAACAUUUCGUUUUGGAUUAAUGAUCGAUGUAUCAAGUGUCAACAACUAAAAUCAUGCCCUGCCCAUCAAUUUAAUAUAUUAUAUGGUGUCCAGAAUUCUUUUUUCAAACUAGAAUCUUGCAGUUGCAUUUCAGAUGAGUAUGAUAUCACCUUUUACUCUAGGAUUAACUGUUGCAUCUGUUGUAAAUUAGAAUGAAGGUAGCUUAUGCUUUUUUGUAAAAGAACCUUUUGAAGCUGAUAAGAAAGCAUAUCGGUAAUGAAAUCCUUAAUGGCCAUAAUUCCAUUGAUUCUGAUUUUGUCUAGAUGCUUAUAUCUCUGUAGUAAUAACAGCACAACUGUUUCAUGUGUUUACUAUUGCCACUAUCUGAUUUGUCACCGCAACUGAAACUUUCAAACUAUAAGAUUCUUGAUUCUGUAUUGAUUUUUGCAGUUACUGAUGGUUGAUGGCAAUGGAUUGCUUCAUCCUCGAGGUAAGUUUCAUUAUGCAUUACCUUGUCAUGCGCUUCACUGCAACUAUGAUAUACACUUAAAAACUCAGUAGUUAAAGGUAGUUCAUUUGACGUAUGCCAGUAUCUCAUUCAAAUAAUUAGCAAUCUUGCAGCAACUCUGGCUGUAUAAACUAAUUCUUAUGUGAAUAUAUUCAUUCAGCUGCAACUUAUGUUAUUCUCUGUAUUCCUUUUUGUAACUGUCUUUUGUUAUAAAAGGUCACAUGGGAUGCGGAGCUAGAGCUCACAAAGAAUGAACUAUAAUACCCUGAUUUGUUUUUUCUUGCUUUAAUAAAUGGUGCCAUGGCACAUUAACUUUUUUCCCUUUUGUUUUGGGUGACUGAGUGAUUUUGCAGCUUCAUUAACUGAUUUUGCAUAUAAUAAUCCAUUACGCAUUCUAUAUACUCUGCACAGAAUCCUAAGUUUAGAACACUACUCAGGUCUUGGUCUAGCUUGUCAUCUUGGGAUCCUGGCUCAUCUUCCAACUAUUGGAAUCGGGAAAAAUGUAAGUAAAAAGAGCUCCUUUCUUAAAACUCCCUUCUUCUUAAAAUUUUCCAGAGCAUAACUAUAAUUGCAGGUGAUAAUAAGAGUUUAAGACUUUUUCAGUCAUUCACAAAGAGUAAUCUAUUAGUCAUCCAUCUUUUAAACAUGCAAAGAGAUCAUAAAUGUUAUUCCUCAUAGUGUUGUUAGGCUGGUUAGAGCAUAAGUCAUGGUUGAACUUUGGUUCAUGGUUUCAGUUUACUUACUAAACUACUCGGUCAACCUAUUGAUUGGUUGAUCCAUAUCCGGUACCAAAUAAAUGUCCAUGGAAAAAGGUGCAAGAUGUUUAUUCUAUACCAUUGUUUGUAAUGGCAUCAAAACAUUUUUAAACGAAUGGAUCUGUUGUUGGUUGGUAUUGUACACUUUGAUCAGAGCUAUCUUCUGCUUACUCAUGCUAGUUCCAGACCUUUCUACUAAGGCUGUUGAUCACAAAAACUAUGCAAUUGUUCAUGUAAAUCAUGCGUUUUUUGUUAUUUUAAUGAUUGUGUCUCUUAUAGUUGCAUCAUGUUGACGGACUAACUCAGUCUGCGGUGCGACAAAGUUUAGAAGCAAGAGAAAACUAUGACAAGGAUCUGAUCUUCUUAACUGGAAAGUCUGGGAAAACUUGGGGAGUGGUAAGAACAUUGAGAUCAUUACAAAACACUAAAUGUACUCCAAUUGUUUUUCUCUCUGUUUAUCUUUAUCUCCUCUAGGUUAGAUACCUUAAGUAAACAUGCAUUUACUGCUUACUAAAGGAUUCUUUUGCAGUUUCAGUAUUUUGAAAAAGAUAAAAUUCAUAACUGCAAAUUUUCCUACUUUAAUUAACACUAUGACAAAUUAUGGAAGCUGACCAUGUUAGGUUACCAACCAAACGUUUUGGUGGGAUGUCGGUACACCACUUCUUUCCUACAUGCUUCAUUGAAAUGUAGGACCACUAAGUACCCACUGCAAUUUGAUCCCUUGGAUUAAGGGUGGGACUGGAUGAGAAACAGAAUGGUUAGCUAUAUUUGUAUCUGUGGCACAAAACUCUCCGAAGUCAUGAUGUCCAUUUUCAGAUUUUUUUUCUUCAAUUUAUCACUUUGAAUUCAUAUUAGCAUCAUGGUAUUGAUUGCAUACCACAUGCCUGCAUCUUUUGAACACAAACGAGUUAUUAUAGAUGAUUAGCAUAUGAAUCAAAAUUAAUACUUAUAAUCCAUUUGGCAUUGCAAAAGAAAAAGGGUAAAAGAAGAGAAAUGGGAGGGAAAAACAGAGGAACUGGAAAGACACAUACUUGGUAGUGUGCCCUUCGCACCUUACCAGAUUUUGCUGGUCCAUCACUGCAUUUGCUUAAGCUUCUAAUAUUAGGUUAUAAUAAACCUGUUCGCAAUAAUAAAAUAUGUAACAACACACAAAAGAAGUGGUAGGUUUUAGUGACAACAAUAUUUACUAGUGUUUGAUUUCUGUACCAGUUUGGGAUCUAACCAGUAAGUACUGCUAGGUAUAGUACCAGGCUGUAUUCAGCAAGUAAUUUUAGGUACCAUCAGGACCAGGCAGAAUUUAAAUCAUUGUUUCAAUCUUUUGUCUGUUGUUUAUGUAAUCUAUCAAGCAAUUUUUUUCUGAUCAAGUAAACUUUAAUGGUCUUUAUAACAUUUCUAUUCUUGUUUUGUUAUCCCAGUGUGCUAUCCAGUAAAUUAGUUCGGAAGACAUGUUUCUACCAUAUAUGAUUUAAACAAGAAGCAGUUUUACCAUGCAUCUUGUUUUUACAAAGUAAAUCCUGAUAAAGUUCUUAAUACUGGGGUGCCAUGGGAAAUGUUUGGUUCUAGGCUGCAUAAACAAGAUAUAUAUUCUGUUGAUGCAAUGUCCUGCAAUCAUAAAAGUUCGGUGCCUAGAUCUUUGAGAAUUUGCUAGUCUCCUCAAUGGACCACUUUUAUUUUUUUAGGCAAUGCGAUCCAUUCUUGGGUCAUCAAAACCUAUUUAUGUGUCAAUUGGUCAUCGGAUUUCACUUGAUUCAGCCAUUAGCAUCGUCAAAACAUGCUGCAAAUAUCGCAUUCCUGAGCCAAUUCGACAGGUAAACUUCUGAUUUUUGAAAUAAUGAACAUGGUUCCUUACUUUCUUCAUUGAUCUUCUUCUACACUGUUUAGUUUCAGGAUUUGCUGAAGUUGGAAUAACUUGAUUCAUGAUCCCAAUUGUAUCAUUCUGAGUGCAGUUUUGUUGUUAUAAUAAUCUUUUACCAUGUAGGUGUUAUACAAAAAUGAUUUCCAUGACUAGAUAGAGGUAUUUGUCAGGGUGAUAAGACAGCCUUCUAAUUGGUCUAGAUUAUUGUAAUCUUGGACUGUCAGAUUCUGUGCAAUCGUUUUUCUCUUUUUUCCAUUUUUUGAUAUUUCAUAGAUCGGUAUGAUCUUAGCAUGGGCAAUAUGUCGACUUGUAAUUUUGUAGGCUGAUAUAAGAUCCAAGAUGUUCCUUCAGAAGUUCAACGGACUGUAGACAUUGGUAUGAUGAUCUUCUCUUCUAUUUUGUUUUUUCUUUGUUUCCUUUUCUGAGAUUUUCAGAUGUGGAAAAUAAUAAAAUUAACACAUUUGUGGGGCUUUUAUAGAUCACCUGUUGUUUAGUUCUGCUCUUUAAAGUUGCUAGCUAGUUGAUUAAACUUCCAAACUGGGAUAUGCAUAUUAUGUUAUAUCUUCAUCCUUCUGUGUUAGUGGUCAUCCGUUGAUCUUUCUUAUUUGUUAUUUCAUUAUGAUUAACCAAUAUCUGUAUUGUUCGGUGUUAAUUAUUGGCUUACGACACAUACCACUAAAUCAGCCAUAAGAUAGAGAACUUAUUUAUGAUACACACAUAUCUGUUCCUGUAACUAAAAUAGAUAGAAUGUCUCUAUUCUUGGACUUUGAGUGGUUCUCUUUGGGUUUAUGAUGUAAUUAGUAUCAAUAUCUGUAUUGAUACUACACGUACCACUAUGAUUUAUGAUUAACCAAUAUCUGUAUUGUUUGGUGUUAAUUAUUGGCUUAGACUUGUACCACUAAAUCAGCCAUAAGAUAGAGAACUUAUUUAUGAUACACACAUAUCUGUUCCUGUAACUAAAAUAGAUAGAAUGUCUCUAUUCUUGGACUUUUUGAGUGGUUCUCUUUGGGUUUAUGAUGUAAUUAGUAUCAACUAUCUGGAUUCUAUAAUUCUCCAGCUUGUUACCUCUAAAUAGGGAAAAGUCUGCUUUUUCUUCUUUGUAUGUCCUUUCCAGUUUAUCAGAUUAUGCAUAGAUGUAUAAGAAAUGUAAUUUUACUGAUUAAACAUGAUGAUUUGCUUCACCUUUGUAAAUCGAAUAAACAAAUGAUGAGUCAAACCUGCAAAAGGUGCUUGGAACCCAUCUAGAGGAUACUUAUCGCAAAUUUAUGGAUGAAUUAUUGGAUUGAACAGAAUAGAACAUGUGCAACAGUGCAAGUACAUUCUAGAUUCUCAACCUUAUUGCUAAGUCUAUUGUACAUGAUUGACCAUAGUGAAAACAAAUGCUGCUCCUCGGAUUCUUGGUCAGUCUUUAUUUAUUUGAUCUUUUAGAUUUAGUAUCUCACCGGAUACCCUCCAGCACAAGCAUGCUAUUUUUAUUCUUUUAUUGCAGGUCAUAAGUUGGACACCAAGCCCAUCUAUCUAUCAGAGGCAUCAAGAGGACAUGAAGACCUACCUACGCUUUGAAAGAACUCUUUCCAACAUGAAGGCUUAGCUCAAUAGGACCUUUUCUUGUUCGACAAUGACGAUGCAAUGAUUUUUUUGAUGUGAAGGCAUAGCUCAAAGGUAACUUUUAAGAUGAAUUUUCAGUUUGGAGGAUAAGCUCAAAUGAAAUACAUGGCAAUAAAGGGAAACUCCCAUCAAUCAAAGCUGAGUCAGUUGCUGCUGUUCAUGAUCAUAUUAGCAGGUUGUCAAUGUUCUUCUUUAGCACUGUGAGCAGUCAUUUUUGUUGUUAUUAUUAGUAUCACCAUAAAUGCAAAGAUGAGGAUGAAAAAGAGACAUUUUUGGUUCAAACAAUUAAAUAUAUUUUCCGUAUCAUGAAACAACAUCUUUCUCAAGGGGCAAAGAUUAUAUAUUUGUUAUGAAAGGAAGGCAGGCAGGCAGGCAACGUAAACAACUUUUCUUUAUUCAUACAUGUGUAUAUAAACAAUAUUAUGUAGUUUGAAUUAUUUAUGCUUCGAAUAUUAUUCUAUCUAUUGAUAUGAUAGAUAGCAUAUCAAAUUCACUCACCAAAUGUUGAAGAUUCAAGACCUUGUCAAUUGGAUCUCCUUCUAAAUUGUAUCAAAAUAUCAAUAUAAAAUCUUAGUAUCAAAACUCCAAAAAAAAUAACUGAACUAACGAGAUGAUGAACAUGUGCUAAAGUUGACGUUGGUGGAAACAUCAACAUGCACCGAUGAACAUAUUCCAACUAGAAAGAUUGGAUAUAGUUAGUGCAUGGAAAGAAAUGGGCAAAAUAACACAAGCUGCAUGUAAUCAGCUUCAGGUUUCACUGUUUCACGCAAACACAGAUAGCAUGACCACAGAGCAAGCAUGCUGGGAAUCUGAGCUAUUGUAAUGGCAGAUGGGCAAAAAACACAAUUCACUACCAACCAUAAGGUUUCUCCAGUUCUGAUCCAGCAAUGUUUCGUCAAUAAAAUGAUCAGAUGCAGCAUCUUAAAAAGCUAGCUUAUUGAAAAAAGUUAAAAAAGGGUCUCAUAAAGGCAGUUCCCCGCUGUCGGCAAUCACGACUUCGCUUUUAGGUGAUCCAUUCUGCUUCCCUUCUGCUUCAAUCUUGUACACCACAUCCAUGCCCGAUAGAACUUUCCCAAAAACAACAUGUUUACCAUCCAACCUGCAGAAGAAAAAAGGCCACAAAUCAGUAAAUACUUACCUAUUAUAGUCGUUGAAUGCGACUGCACUGCAUGACAAUUACCAGCUAGUUGUCACAGUUGUGAUGAAAAACUGAGAUCCGUUGGUAUCACGGCCAGCAUUUGCCAUUGACAGGAAUCCUACAACAAUAAAUAAAUAAAGCAGUGUCAUUUUCUUUUUUUUUGGCAAUGCACACAAGAAUAGGAGCCUAGCAAAUGCAUUUUUUUAAGUGGAUAGAUGAUAUGUUAUUCGUGCUACCUGGCCCGGUGUGUUUGAGCUUGAAGUUUUCGUCAGCAAAUGUCAUGCCAUAAAUAGAUUCUCCACCCCUUCCAUCUCCAUGUGUGAAGUCACCUCCUUGGAUCAUAAAGCUGGGUAUUAUUCUGUGAAAAGUACUCCCCUUGAAGUGAAGAGCUUUCCCGCUCUUGCCUACACCUUUCUCACCUGUGAAUAAAAGCAUAUAAGCGGCAUGAGUUGCCAUAGACGGAGUGUUUUGACAUACAAUACGCUUUAAACUAUGAAUUUAAAGUUCUUCAAUCAGUACAGAUGGCUAUUCCAGAAUCAAUGUUUAUCUAGUCUCAAAGGUGCCAAGCAUGACUCAGAUAUCACUUGGUGUAUCGGAAGACCUAACUUUUGCUUUAUAUCAUGAUAAUGGAUGUGUGACUUCUCUUUUUUCAGAAAGAGAUAUUUUUUGUUUUGAGACCCAAAAAAGCUGUUCGAUAUUUUCAUAAGAAAUACAAUCUGCUCUCAUGGUCACUAAUUAUCAUACAUGUUGGUUAAAUCAUUUCAUGCAUUUUAUAAGUGUCUGUAUUUGGACAAAGAGGAAAGCUUCUCUCUGUUCUGUUUCUUCUCACAUCCUUUUCAUCACUUGGCAUUUAUAGCAACAUCCUUAUUAUCUUAAAAGGGAAAAAAAACACAGUUUUAAUUGUUCUGCAAUGAUAGGUUAUAUUCACAUACUUUUAUUUGAUCAUUUUGCCAGUGUGGUUGUAGAAAACAGCUUGUCACAGCCUCUAUGUUUUUAUAGCAUAUACUGAGACAGCCUCUAUGUUUUUGAUAGCAUAUACUGAGACCAGUUUUCAUUAUUUUCGGCAAAUAAAUACCAGAAGAAAGAAAGAAUAUCACUGUUACUGAAAGAAAACAGUUUCUUUAACAAAUCAAACCACAAGCCAGCAGUUAAAUCAACAGAGACAAGUUUAAGCAUUGUAAAGAAAAUACAAGCAUACCUGUGCAUAGAGCUCGGAAGUUUUCUGUAGGAGCAACAAACCAAAGAAAAAAGAAAAAGAGAAGAGGAACAAAGUUAGAUGUUCUUUUUUACAUAUUAAAAUAACAUAUCAGAAAGUAAAAAGUAAAAAGUAAAAAAGAAAAACUUAAUAGGAAGACACAUAAUGAACAUGAAAAACUAUAAAUCCAACAAGAUCAGAAUUUAUUUAAAAGACAGUACCUGCUGUCUUAGGCACAGUUUUUCCGAAAAGACCCAUAACUAUGCGACCUGGUAGAAUUAGACAUCCAUUCAAUUAACAUUAAUGACAACACACUAUCACUUCAUAGUCAAAUCUCAGCAGCAACAUAACAACAUAAAUGGUAUAAUGCAUAUUGUUCAUUCAAAUACUAAUGAAAGAGUAUUAGUACAAGAACAAAAAAUCAUUGAUAGAACACCAACACUGAACCUCAGAUCUUGCAUCGUAUCAAUCACAUGGAGUUAAGUAUGCUCAUGAGCAAAGCAACACCAUAAAACAACAGUAGGAUAAAAGUCAUCAUCCAAGCAGAUCAUUUAAGACGACAUUCAGAUAAACAUAGCAAUGCCAUCAAUAUAGUUGCAAAGUGGACAACAUAGUCAUCAGGAAAGCACUUAUAUUCAUUCUGACAAUAAAAAUCAAAGCUUUCAACAAAAGACAUUAGCUCAACUUCAACAGUCACCUAUUUUUGCUUCAAUCAAUGUUAAGAAUAAUCUACAGCUAAGCUCAUUACCAGCAGGCUUUCCACCGAUCUCAACAUCAAAGUAGACCUUGUGUGAUACUUCCUUUGAACUUCCCUUAGAUUCUUUAGCCUGAAAUAAUGUUCAAAACCAAAAAGAAAAGAAAAUUAAGAAAAGAGAACCAACAUGGAACCGAGAAUCGUCUUCUAUAGCAAAUAGCACAUCUUAAACACAGUAGUAAGAGGACGCGGGCAGGUCUUCAAUAGACCAACAACUCGUCAUCGAUUCUUGAGUCGUCACAAGGGACUUGUUCGAUUCGAACACUGGGGGCGAUGAUCCAAGAACUAAUUCAAGAACGAAUGACGGGACGAAUGAAUGAACGCAUAUAAGAACCUGGACGAGGACGAGGAUGAUCGCAACGAUGAGUAGUAGGAAGCACCGCAUCGACGCCGCCGCGGCCGCUGCCAUCUCCGUGGUCUUCUCUCUCUCUAGCUUGUGAUCCGAGAUCUGUGCGUCGAGCCCACCGAACGACCUUUCACUCGUCAGAACCCUAAGUCACGUGGAUAGCACCUGAAGAAACCACGUGGCGUCGGCCAAUGGGAAUGCAGUCCGCUAUUUGGGAUGGGCACGUGUCACAACAUCUGACGUCGCUGUUUCGGACUGUGCAUAAGAAUUGGAUUAGAUUAUAAUGUUGGGAUUAAAGGAGUUGUUAAGGUGAAUUAAUAGGUCAUUAAGGCUGGUAAUGAGUUCGGCUUAAAUGGGACCCAUUAAGGGAGCCAAUGAUGGGCCGAGCUCGCCGAGCCUCACAAAACCCUCGACGCUGUUCUUCAUCCCUGAGCCGUCGACCUCCUCCCCCUGGUCGACACCGCCGCCGCCGCCAGACCUCCCCUUCCUUGUCCUUGAUGCCACCGCCGCUUGCUGCUUCUCCACGAGAUCGACGCAUCCUGCGGCGGUGGAUUUCCCUGCUCCCUAUUUGAGAUCAACGCUUCUUGAAGCCGCCGUGACCGCCGGAGCCUCCUUCUUCUCCUCAUAUGCUGCCCGAAGUUGCUGAUUCCCAAUUCGAUUCGUCCACAUUGACAGGUACUCCUCCACCUCUUCUUCCCCUUCCACUAUUCGCUCUCCUUUCCUUCUUAAAAAUGUUAGAUGAUCUGUCGAUCACCUGUUGGUGAUCUGCUUAAUAUGAGCUUUUGCUGGUUAUCGCGUCGUUUUGUCCUUGGAAUUUUUGGUGUUUUUAUGAUUCGAACUUGGUUUAAGGGAUGGGGAGAUAACCAAGGGAGGUAGAGGAAUUGGUUGUGGCGGGGGAUGGGGCGAGAGAAGGGCGAGGAGGAGGAAGAUGAGGGGAGGAGAGGAGGUAACGAACGUGGGUGUGGUGGUGAUGCUGGUGGGCACCAGUUCUUGGAUCGAAGCAAAGUUAGGAUUCUGCUCUGUGAUAAUGAUCCCAAGAGUUCGCAAGAGGUUCUUCAGCUCCUCUACAAGUGCUCCUACCAAGGUAUGGCUCUCUGGUCUCUUCCUUUGCACAUACGGCACACACAGGCAGCUUUGCUGCAUCCAUAUUUUUCCAUUAAAGCCUUUGUUUGGUAGCAAUUAAGAAUACAAAAAGAUAGCUCUUUCUGCAAUUGAAUCCGUUGUUCAGAAGGAAAAAAAAUGUUUUUGUUAGAAAUUUGUCUAUUUUUUGGGAUAGCUAUUUCUGCAAUUGAAUCUGUUGUUCAUAAGGAAAAAGAUGUGUUUGCUAGAAAUUCUGUUUAUGUUUUUUCUUCAAUUGGUGAUCUUUACUCUUCUAUUCGACCAAUCACGAGGGAAUCAUUAUCAUUGCCAACUCACAAUCAUUCUUUCAAAAAAAAUGUGGUCUAUGUAGUUACCUGUUAUUUGUUUUGUUAUUCUGUUUAUGUGCUAAGAUUUUUUUAAAAUCUUUUCUUCAACUUAAUGGUUGAGUACUCAAGUCAUUAUUGGACUCACUUUUGAUAUGGUAAUGUUUCUGAUAGUUUGUCUCUUUUUCUUUCAUAUGGUAAUGUUUCUGAUAGAUUGUCUCUUUUUCUUUCAUAUGGUAAUGUUUCUGAUAGAAUAGAUGGUACCACUUUUUUUCUUUCGCAAGCUCUAGUGAACAACAUCUAGCUGAUUGAACUUGUCAUGCUCCAGUAACUUCUGUGAAAUCUGCCAAGCGGGUGAUUGAUGUGCUUAAUGCCCAAGGGUCAGAAAUCGACAUCAUUCUUGCAGAAGUUGAGCUUCCGAUGGCCAAAGGUUUGAAGAUGAUGAAGUAUAUAGCAAGGAAUAAGGAGUUGAGGCACAUUCCUAUAAUAAGUGAGCUUAUUGAGAUUUAGCUAUUGCUUUUGCUCCUUUUGUAGGACAUCAUUAGAUUCUUAUUCUUCCUUCUCAUUUCUUUUCUAGUGAUGUCUGCUCAAGAUGAGGUUUCGAUUGUUGUGAAGUGUUUGCAACUUGGAGCAGCUGAUUAUCUUGUGAAACCAUUGCGCAUGAAUGAAUUGUUGAAUCUUUGGACCCACAUGUGGAGAAGAAGGCGCAUGGUAGUGCUCGACAUGAGCUUCCUUGAUUUUUACUACUUAAGACGUGUAUGUAAUUGUAUUUUGUUUUACCAGCUUGGUUUGACAGAGAAGGAUGUCUUCAGCCAUGAUUUAGAAAUAUCAUUGUCAGAUCCUAGCGAUGUCAACACAAGUAGUACAAUUCUUAUCUCGGAUAACACUGAUGACCAACUCGAUGUGGUUGCGAAUCCAGAAUUAAACAUGUCAAAUCAUCCAGAAUGUGAGGUAAGAUCAUUGAGGAGCUUGUUGUUGGUAAGAAACUAGCCUGCAGGCUCUUUUGACAUUCUUUGUCUUCAUUUCAUCAGUGUCACAUUCUGUUACAGUGCAUCAGGGUUAUUUCAUUUGCAUGAUUCUAGAUGCUUGCAAAAAUACCAUGAUUUGUCAUAUUUUUUAUUCUAUGGAUCAAAACAAUAUAAGUAAUGUGGACUAACAUUGAUCUUUCUUGUAUUUUCUAGUCUAAUGUCUCUCCUGUAGGGCCUGCCUGCAAUAAUGAUUUGGAUGAUGCACAAUAUAUUCCAAGGAAUAAUGAUCGUGCAGGUUGCUACUCCUGUGUUUUUACAGUUCUAUAUCAUUUUCUUUCUACACUGCACUCCUGUAGGUAUCUUCUCUGAUUUUUCUCAAGAAACUAUUUUCUUUUGCUAGUAAUUGCAAGUGGAAUAGUCUCAUUACCAAAGAAGAUUGAGUUCAAGGUUGGCAGAUCUUCUGCGUUUUUGACAUAUGUUAACUCAAAUGCACCAAGCAAAAUCCCACAUCUUGCUAUCGACACAAAUUCUGCUCCAUCAAAAUCCUUGAAUUAUGAAGGAAGCCCUCUUGCAGGAGGCAAUAUGGAGGGAUACAACAACAAAUUGGUGCAGGAAAACUACACUAGUGGAAAUGUCUCUGUGACCAGAGAGAAUAUAUGCAAUACGAAGGACUUCGAAACACUACCAGAGUGUCCUGUACCAUAUCCAUCUUCUUCCACUGAGCAGAAUGAGGGUACUGAUGUUUCUGGUGUUCCACCUGUCUUCUCUUUUCCAUUUUAUUACCCAGGGGUGAUGAAUCAGAAUAUAAUGUCUUCACCUGGGCAGACGUUUCAAGGUAGCUUGAAUGAUGUGCAAGCACACCCUGCACCAGCAAUGGUACCUCAGUAUGCUGUUGUUCCAUACAUGCCUCUGAUGCCAUCAUUCCCAUGCCAGCCAUUGGGCACAAAUCCGCAAUCAAGUCAUAUGGCUGCACCAAGUAUGUGGUCUUCGAUGACCAGCUCAUCCACACCUGAAGUGAAAUCUGGUCGAACAGAAAGAAGGGCGGCGGCACUAGUCAAGUUCAGGCAGAAAAGAAAGGAAAGAUGUUUUGAUAAGAAAAUUAGGUAUGCAAAAAGGAAGCGCCUUGCAGAGAAAAGGCCAAGAGUUCGAGGGCAGUUUGUGAAGCAAGUGGACAAUGUAGAUCUUAGUCACGAUAUUUCUAGUGGUGAUGGUGAUUCUGAGGACGAUGAAGCUGAUGAACCCACAUCCAGGGAACUUGAACUUAUUUCUUCUCCAGAACAGAAUGCUUCCUAUUGAUAGAGUGAAGCUAGCAAUCGUACCAUGGACUGCUGGUGCUUACGAUAUAGGGCAACAGUCUGCAUUCAGGCUGCACAUUGAUCAUAGACUACUGGUGCUUACGAUAUACUAUAGGGUAACAGUCUGCAUUCGGACGCCACAUUGAUCAUGAACCGUGUGCUGCGGCGGCAAAUAUGUUCAAAAAAUUUAUCACAGAAGAAAUUUGUGAUGUUGAUAACUCGAGGCAUCAAAGGCAUUGAGGCAGUGUUGUUGAUUAAUCUUUUUGCAUAGAAACAAGAAAUCAUUGGUUGGAAAUUAUGUUUGAUAGAAGUAGGUGUUUCUCAUAUUACAAUCCACCAUGUUCAAAAGCUGUAAUACUAAUAUAUAUGAAAGUUUAUUGUGCAUUCUUGAACACCAUGAUGCAUUUAUAUAUAUUUAAUUCCUUAAACUGUGUACAUUUAAUUCUCAGCAAAGAGUUUUUAGGAGGCAAUUCAUGCGUCUCAAUUUUAACAGAGUAUUACUCUUUGUUCCAAAGUCGAUCCUAUGUGACAGUACACUCAUUCACAUGGUAAUCACAUUGAAGCAAAAAUGUUCAUCAAAAUAGAUUGGAGAACAUUUUUUAUAGUAUUAUUUUUCCAUACAAAGAGGAACAAAUUUAACAUGGACCAAUUUGAUAGAGAACAUUAAUGCAACAUUUAUUUGGUCCUACGAAAUUAAUUGAAAAAGCCCCCUAUCAGUCCAAGAAAUCAUUCUAAAUUUUUGAACUUACACCUAUAAAUUGAUUUCGGAUGACAGCCAGUAGGCGUACAAAUUGCUAAUGGAAAGUUCUGCCAGCGCGCAAGAAACCUUUGGAUCUGUUAAUGUCUAAAACAAUGAUCAUAAGAUUAUUAUAUACACGACAAUAGAGCAUGCCAAUGAUACAGACUAUCAUCUGAUUCUGAAGCAACACUACUAGUUGCCAAUGUUACAACACAGCAAGGGAUAAGGCUUUCAGUCUGUGAAACCAAAAAAGCCUAAUUCAAGCCAGACUAGUACUGCACACGAAACUGCAUCCGGCUACCAGGUUGAGACAUCGGUAAGCCAUAAAUCUGGUUCUUCAGCUGCGGCAAACUUGAAGAAUGAAUGUUAACCUUGAUAUUGAAUUGCUCAUUGAUUUGGACUAUAGCGAAGAUGUUGCUCAUAGAAGCUGAUCAGCUGUCACAUUAAAAAGCUCAAUUGAAAUAUUUGCCUAACGACAGCAAAUGUAUACCGAAGAGGUAAGUAGACUGCAUCAUACCAACAAUGGGUUAUUAGCUUUUAGUUCCUUGUCAUCCACAAGCACUUCUUUUCCAUCAGACCUAUACAUCAAUAUAGAACAAGGGUUAGAAAGUUUGCAUAUGGCACCAUAAGUGUUAUCACUAUCAUUUGACAUUUCCACCUGUACAUAAUGCUAUUGCUCAAUGAAACCAAGUUUCCUAAUUCCUUCAAGAAAACAGACCAAAUAGUAACAUUAAAAUUUGUUUGUGUUGACCUAAUGAGCCUGUAAAAUGACAACUAAAGCAUAAAAGAAUAUAAGAAUUUCAAUGUAGUACAGACCCAAAUUACCACCAACCUGGAUCAGAUUGAUUAUAUCUUCUGGGACUAAUUCUUUUACUUCGUUCGUACUUCCAUGUACAGAGAAUAUGAGUGAUGAUACAAACACCAAAAGACACACAUGGCAAACUCUUUUGCAUGUCAGGAAACAUAAUACGAUUGAAAAUCAAACAGGCCAGUCUAGAAGAAUUUAUCUGCAUAUUUAAUGUUGGUUCAACCGAAAGAGCAAGUUUCUGGGUAGAUCAAAACUGGCACCACUAUUUCUUUCACAUUGUCCACAUUAACUUCUAAAAGAAUUCAGAAAAUAUGAUAUGACGACAUGGGAACAAGAAGAUAAAUGCAGAAAAAUUGUAUGCAUGUCAAUAUUAAUAUUACAGUGUGGAUAAUAGUGUCUAUUAAAGAUAGAUCACAGGGGAAAUUUUGUUAAACAUAUCGACCAGUGUGGAUAACCACACUGCAGUACCUUGCAGCAGCUCAUUUACUAUUAAAUGGACACAAUAAUUGUUGGUAUCCCUGCACAGAUUUUCACAUGGAAUAUUGCAUCCUUCCAACAUAACCUUUUUUGCUUCACAUGCGAUGGUGACUGUUUCUUGGGAUCUUAAUAGAACCCAUGUUAGACCAAAAGCUAUAUUGCAACUUGCACUAGGAUGCAACAUCAUCGACCAGUGUAGAUAACAANNNNNNNNNNNNNNNNNNNNNNNNNNNNNNNNNNNNNNNNNNNNNNNNNNNNNNNNNNNNNNNNNNNNNNNNNNNNNNNNNNNNNNNNNNNNNNNNNNNNNNNNNNNNNNNNNNNNNNNNNNNNNNNNNNNNNNNNNNNNNNNNNNNNNNNNNNNNNNNNNNNNNNNNNNNNNNNNNNNNNNNNNNNNNNNNNNNNNNNNNNNNNNNNNNNNNNNNNNNNNNNNNNNNNNNNNNNNNNNNNNNNNNNNNNNNNNNNNNNNNNNNNNNNNNNNNNNNNNNNNNNNNNNNNNNNNNNNNNNNNNNNNNNNNNNNNNNNNNNNNNNNNNNNNNNNNNNNNNNNNNNNNNNNNNNNNNNNNNNNNNNNNNNNNNNNNNNNNNNNNNNNNNNNNNNNNNNNNNNNNNNNNNNNNNNNNNNNNNNNNNNNNNNNNNNNNNNNNNNNNNNNNNNNNNNNNNNNNNNNNNNNNNNNNNNNNNNNNNNNNNNNNNNNNNNNNNNNNNNNNNNNNNNNNNNNNNNNNNNNNNNNNNNNNNNNNNNNNNNNNNNNNNNNNNNNNNNNNNNNNNNNNNNNNNNNNNNNNNNNNNNNNNNNNNNNNNNNNNNNNNNNNNNNNNNNNNNNNNNNNNNNNNNNNNNNNNNNNNNNNNNNNNNNNNNNNNNNNNNNNNNNNNNNNNNNNNNNNNNNNNNNNNNNNNNNNNNNNNNNNNNNNNNNNNNNNNNNNNNNNNNNNNNNNNNNNNNNNNNNNNNNNNNNNNNNNNNNNNNNNNNNNNNNNNNNNNNNNNNNNNNNNNNNNNNNNNNNNNNNNNNNNNNNNNNNNNNNNNNNNNNNNNNNNNNNNNNNNNNNNNNNNNNNNNNNNNNNNNNNNNNNNNNNNNNNNNNNNNNNNNNNNNNNNNNNNNNNNNNNNNNNNNNNNNNNNNNNNNNNNNNNNNNNNNNNNNNNNNNNNNNNNNNNNNNNNNNNNNNNNNNNNNNNNNNNNNNNNNNNNNNNNNNNNNNNNNNNNNNNNNNNNNNNNNNNNNNNNNNNNNNNNNNNNNNNNNNNNNNNNNNNNNNNNNNNNNNNNNNNNNNNNNNNNNNNNNNNNNNNNNNNNNNNNNNNNNNNNNNNNNNNNNNNNNNNNNNNNNNNNNNNNNNNNNNNNNNNNNNNNNNNNNNNNNNNNAAAGCUAUAUUGCAACUUGCACUAGGAUGCAACAUUAUUGACCAGUGUAGAUAACAAUACUGCAGUACCUUGCAGCGGCUCAUUUACUAUUAAAUGGACACAAUAACUGUUGGUAUCCCCACACAUAUUUUCACAUGGAGUAUUGCAUCCUUCCAACAUAACCUUUUUUGCUUCACAGGAGAUGGUGACUGUUUCUUGGGAUCUUAAUAGAACCCAUGCUAGACCAAAAGCUAUAUUGCAACUUGCACUAGGAUGCAACAUCAGGGAUGAUGAGCUUAAGCCAAUUUAAUCAAAAGAAAACCAUUUAAGCCUGACCGACAGACAAGUACAAUGGUGUGUUUGUUGGUCUUGGAUACCAACCAUAGUAUGCAAGAGCAAGCUAGAGCUUUUAUGACCUCACCCUGCCCAAAUAUGCACUUAAUUGUUUUCACAAUAUCAACUAGGUGUAGCAGUUCAAAACCCUACCUAGUGCAUCAAACAGGGGUGAUGCCAUGCAAGGGCCCAAUGGGAACAUGGGCCCCCUGGUCCACAUAGUUUUCCAUAUAUGGUUUUUUGUGUCAAACUUUUCUUCAAAAAUGUUAUUACCCUUUGUGGAUUUUUAAGAUUACGUUAACCCCCACUGGUGGCACAUGUGAGAGAGCCAUACAGAACUAGUUGAGCUGUUUGGAAGGUCUUUUCUACUUUUACCAGAAUUGUUCCAUAUUCUUAAAUACUCCACCCAUGAACUAUUCCAAAAACAUGACACCUACUUCUAGUUUCAGUUAUGAGGUAUUUUCACUUGACAAAGUAACAAAAUUGCUAUAUCAACUAAAUUAGUUAUCACUAAAAGUAAAAAUAAUAUAAGAGACAAAUGAAACCUAUUGAAUAUGUCACUGUUCUUUUAAGUGCAAACAUGAUUUGCUAGGACUUCUUUUAUUAGGAAAAGAUUGCUGCCUAACGGAUCACUUUUAGGGCUUGAAUCAGACAUAUUUUGCAACAUGAAAAAUACACAAACAUUUCUAAGAACAGAAGAUACAUCUCUGAAGAACAUUAACUAAACUCAAAUCAAACUUAAAUUAAGACCCAGACAGAUUUGCUCCUGGAUGAAACUCAUCUGUGCUGCAAUGAUUAUGCUUCCAUUGCAUGAAACUCAUCUGUGCUGCAAUGAUUUACACCAAAAUCAUUCAAUUUGUUGGAACUGCAAACAACUGAUGAAACAUCAAAGCUUGAUGAUGAAGCCUUAAAUUGGGAUUCUUCUCCAUGGAAAAUUCUUAAAUCAUUUGAUCUUUCCUUGUUUUAACUGCUCAUUAGAACCUUCAAUUCACCUUUAGUUGAAUCUUGGAAAGGUCAGAAGAAAGAAUCUUGAAAUCUGAACUUUUGCUUCAAACUUAUCUGACCAUUAGGAAAUGGAAAUGUCAUGAGUCUCCAUGUUCUGUGAAUCUUCAUUCAUGAUCAAACUUUGGAUGUCAUCUCCCUUGUCUCCUUUGGAUGUUCAAGAAUUAUUUGUGAUAUCACAAGAGGUGGUUUUCAAGUAACAAGCUUGUAGCAUAGGCUACAUGAUCUUGUCUUCCCAGUGCUUUUUUUAAUUCAUCUCAUUAAUGAUCUUGAUCGUGCAAUGUACAAUUAUUCAAGCAUUGUCCUCCUACAAUUAAAUCAUUCAACUGACAGUUCCAAUCUUCCUGUCUUUUGCAUCAUAAUGUAGCAUGAACAUAAGUAGAAUCCAAGAUAGUUGAUGCGUAUCAUGCCAACACAGGAUUAAGUUGAAUAAGAGCCUAUGCAUAUCUAUGAGCAUAAGCAUGAUACAUGCCAACACACUAUGAGAUGCCUCCAGUGCCACAAAGCUUUGGUCGGGAAAACAUUCCUCUGAUCACUGUGGCUGUAUCAAAUACAACAGAUAUUUUUUUGGUGGCCUGACUUUGGGAUCAAACUCGUAUCACUUCAAGGUCAGGCCAAAAGUCAUUCUGAACUCAACAUGUUGCAGGUAAAGAGACAUGAAACAAUGAAGGGUGCAUCUAUUCCUACGAGAAAAUAGCAGCAAGAGAAAAUGAACAGGUUGAUGGUUGAUCAGACUUAAACCACCAUGGCAAGGGGCUCCUAAUCAGCUUGAAUAUGAUACCAACUUGAAAAAAAAAAAGAACCAACACCAGAGAAUAUGGUUAUAGAAUCAGAUUUGACAGGAGGAAAGAAGUUAUCAUUGUGCAAGAUAACUACAGGAAUAAUGGAAGAAAAUCAAUCCAGAGGAAAUAAAUGCUAUAGCUAAUAAGGAUUGUCGUGCUUCUAGGUAUGAGUAUGUUGAAUCUUGGAUUUUGAUGAUAAAACCAAUUGAUAGAGUUUAUGAUCUAAUCUGCGUUUUGAGUGACGCAAGACUAGCUUCGAUCAUGAAGAGACAAUUAAAGCAGAAAGAAUCAAUGUUGAGCCGGAGUGGAACAUGUCAAAAGAUUGGAUGUCGAGCAGGAGGAUCGGUUGACGUGUCGGCAGAAGGCUUCGUGCCAUGAGUUCAGGCAUCGGGCCUAGAAGAGCAGACAUUGCGCCAAGGAGAUUAGAGUUGCGGAGGUCAACAUACCGAUUGGACAAAAGGCCACAAAAGAGGACGAUGCGCCGAAGGAUUGAACGAAGCGCCGAUGAACCAAUGACAUGCCGGACAACAUGUGAUUAAUGCUUUGUAAUAAUUGUUUAGAUCGAAUUAGUUUUAGUUGUAAUUGGGUUGGUUUAGAAUGUAACCAUGCCAACUCAAUUAAAGGCCAACUGGGCUCGAAUUGGGGUUGUUUUGGGCCAAGAGAAAGGCCCAUUCAGUGACCCAAAAGUUGGGUCAGGCGGUGGCACCACCAAAGGCUCAGUUUCCAAGACACGGUCUCCAAAACUGUGUCAAGCGGUAGUACCGCCAGACUAGCGAUGGUACCGCCUAGUGUCAAGAGGUGGUACUGCUAGACUAGGUGAUGGUACCGCCCAGUGUCAGUGCUGCAGGCGGUAGUACCACCAGCACAAGUGGUGGUACUGCCAGGACCCGGGAUGAGACCUUUUUUGGCUCCAUUUUUUAAGCCAUUUGGGAUCUAUAAAUACCCCAGCUAUUCCUGCAUGGAAGAACACGAAUUUGAGCAAAAGAGGGGGAAAGAAUACUUGAGUAGAAAUUGUAAUCUCUCUAAGUUUAGUGAGUCUCUUCCUCCUAGAGUUAGAAGGUUUCUAAGGGAGGAGUGAGGUCUAAAAAGAAAAAGAGGUGUAAAAGUUCUCUCUUGAACUUGUGAAAAGGAAAAAAGGGUGUAAAAGGGUAGUUGAUCUUUAUCCAUUGAAAGAAGAUCAGGUAGUGGAAGCCGAUUGAUUGAGUCACUUACCUCGUCGUCGAAAGCCACCAAAGCAUAGUUCGCAACCUUGUCUUCGGAUGCACUCGUUUCAUCCUCCACUAUCGCCUUGAUUGCAUUCUUCUUCUUUUGUGCAAGCACCUUCUUCUUUAGUUGCGGACAUUCGCUUUUAAAGUGCCCUGGCUGAUUGCAUUCAUGGCAUGUUGUUUUAUCCUUUUUAAGUUCGUUUUUAUUCUUUAAUUGUUAUUUUAUAAACUUUUUAAAUUUUAUAGUGAGAAGUUCAAAGUCAUCAUCAUCAUCACUUGAGUUAUCACUCAAGUGGUAUUCUAUUGUUUGAAGUGUCAAAUCCUUCCUGUUCUUUGAAAGGUAGUUCUCAUGUUCAUCAUAUUUAAUACAAGUCAUUUCAUAGGUCAUCAAAGACCAAUAAGUUCUUCGAGCGAAAAAUUAUUCAAGUCCUUCGCUUCUUGUAUUGCGGUUACUUUCGGAUCCCAAAUUUUAGGAAGAGAACAUAAAAUUUUAUUAAUAAGUUCAAGAUUCGAAAAACUUUUACCAAGUGCUUUUAAACAAUUGAUGACAUCCGUAAAAUGGGUGUACAUGUCUCCAAUGGUUUCGCUUAGUUUCAUAUGAAACAACUCAAAAUCAUGCAUAAAAAGAUUUAUCUUAGAAUCCUUAACUCUACUAGUGCUUUCGUGUGUGAUUUCAAUAGUGUGCCAAAUGUCAUACGUAAUUUCACAAAUAGAAACCGACAAUUGCAUGUUCUAUGAUAAAGGAACAAAAUGUUAGAUUUAAAUCUAAUGCUUGUAAACCUAAUAAGAUUAAUUAUAUGUAUGUUUUAAGAAGCAAUAAUGUGUAUCUUGAUGAUUUCUAUAUUGCUUUUUGAUUUUAAAUAAUGAUGCAUGACUUUUGUAUAGAAGACUUGAGUAUGAAAUAUCUUAUAAAAUUUGGAACUAAAAGAACUUUAGCUACUGUUAAUCUUAUAGGAAUCAAUCAAUGCUACUUUCAAUAAAUUUCCCGAAUGAAAGAAAUUUGAUUUUGAUGAUGAUUUUGGAUUUGACAAUUUGUUUUCAUAUUUAUCCAAACACUUGAUUUAUUCGUGUUUAUGACAUGAGAUGUAUUUUAUAUGAAUCAUUUUGUUCUCGUAUUAUUUUAUCGUCUAAGAGAAGAUUUAUCCAAAUGAAUCUUGAUUCUUGAUAUUAAUGAUUUGAGAUUUAUUUUAUGUGAAUCAAGAUAUCUUAUUUGAUCUCCUAUGAUUUUAUUCGUCAUUUACUAAAAAGGAAAUUUGUCCAGAUGAAUCAUUCACGAAUUGAUCUUUCAAAUUAAUAUCUUUCAUGUCAUGAUUUUAAUAUUACUCCUUUGUAAUUAUGAUUUGUAUAUCUCAUGAUAUAAUUGAAUCAUUGAUGAAAAAAAAAAAAGAGAUUAAUGAACCUAUUUAUAUCUUUUUUAUGAACCUCUUGAAAAUGAUUUUGAUGAUUGGACGAUUUGAAUUGAAAUGAAUCUUAUCUAUAACAUGAUCUUGAAUUCUCGGAAUUAUAACUUGAGAUUUUUAUACAUGAAUUGAGAUCAGGGCCUGGUCUACCUCGGCGUCCAACUCAGCCGGCAGAAGACUCCCGACAUCGACCCGUGGAUCGAGCUAUACUGACUCACCAGCCACGGCACAUUUGUUCAUCAACAGUCGACAAACGGGUCCAACUCCAGUUCUAGGUCCGGGUACCUUGCUCGAAAGCGAGCAUAGGCCACCCGAUACUCGAACUCAUAUGUGACCCACCCCGACCUCACCAGGCCGCGCUCGAACCCAACGGAUGCCUUGUACUCGGCGAUCGCCCCCUAGAUCUUCUGUGGUAGCGCCAGUCGCUCCUCCUUCAGGACCUCUCUUCAGCGGCCCAAGCCAAAGACCUGACGGACUCGACAUCGUGGAAGAGGGUUAGCAGCUCAUCAUCCAGCGUCCGCAUUCGACGAGUCAAUCCAACUUUCCCUCAUAAGCAACCAAUGCCUCCCCAGCGUUCCGACCUAGGCAUCCCUCUCAUCCCCUCAGGGACCCCACGACACGCCUUGAUGGGGGGGGGGGGGGGGGGGAAAAAAGAAAAAGAUAUUUUGGGGCCCAAAAACCUCCCGACUUAAGCCCCGCCCCGCUACAGCCCGGGCAACAAGGGGGCAUCCCCCCCCCCCAAGUUAAAANNNNNNNNNNNNNNNNNNNNUCAUCCCCUCAGGGACCCCACGACACGCCUUGAUGGGGGGGGGGGGGAAGAAGUGAUAAGGUAUAUUUUGGGUCCAAGACACGUCACGACUGAUGCCACGCCGCGCUACAGCCAGGUCAGCAAGGGGAGCAUCCCCACACGCUAAGUCAGAGUCUGUACCGAGGCACUGUUUGGCAUGUUCCAUCCCGGAAGCUUGGGGCAGUGUCGUCUGACACCGUCCUAUGCGUCUCGGGACAGCGGCCGCACAGUACCAUCUCGUCCCCCGAGGAUAAGCCACCACGUCGAGCCCGCAUGCGACCGACCCUCGUACAAUAAUAUAAAAGCCCUUAGCCGGCAUCCGGCUAGAGGGGGUGAGAACACAAAAGAGAAGAGAAAAACAACUACUGACUUGCUCGUCGGAAGGGCCAAAGUCGGGAAUCACCCGACGAAGGCCAUUUUUGCAAGCAAGCGGCCACCCCCGAGCCACGAGCGUCUCGACCUGGGAAUCGCUAUCCAGCGAACGAAGGCAAGCUGCCAACCAGCCCGGGAACGGAGAGACGCUGCUCAACACAAGCGACGCCCGGACUGAGAAACGCUGACCAACACCCCGUCACUUCUCCCCCUUUGUCAUCAACAAAAAGAAGUACAACUAGCAAGUUAUUGAGAUAUAAUUUCGAAUCAUUGCAUUAUAAACAUAAUUUCAAGUUUUUGAAACAUCAUUGCAUAUAUCAUCAUACAAGCUAGCAAGUUUUUUAGAUAUGAAAGUUAACAAAACUUUUACAUCUUUUAAGAUGUGCAAGAUAACAUGUUUUCUUUUCUUUGCGAUGUUCAAGCUAGCAAAUUUUUUGAAAAAGAAUGCAAGAUUUACAUCAUUUUAGAACAUGCAAGCUAGCAAGUUUGUUUUUCUUUGCGAUGUGCAAGCUAACGUGAUUUGUUUUUUCUUGAAUUGUGAAAGCUAGCAAAUUUUGGUUCUCUUUUGAGAUGUGCACACUAGCAAUUCUUUUUCCCCCUUUGUCAUUAGCAAAAAGAGGGGAAUAACACAAAUGUGCAUUUCAUUUCUCUUUAUAUCAAUUCUCUAAGCAUCACAUAAGGUAUGCAACCAUAAAUACAAAAGAAUUAUACACUUACAUUCAAGUUUUCCAAUACGUGUAGUCUGUCCCAUUGAACAUAGGAGGACGAAUGAUAGAAUGACCUCUUGAAAGCCGAAAAAAUUUAUUUUUCUUGGGUGUUAAACCAAAUGAGAAAAACAUGGCUCUAAUACCAACUGUUAGGAUCAAUACGACACUAAGAGAGGGGGGUGAAUUAGUGCUUAUGAUAAAAAUGUCGGUUUUAAAAUUCUCGUUUGAUGAAAACCGAUAUCGGAAAAGAGUGCUUGACUAAGAGUAAGUGAACUAAGUAAUUAACUUACAAAGUAAUAGCCAUGAUAAUGAAAAGCAGAAUAGAAAUUGCACAUCGAGUUUAUAGUGGUUCGGUCGUCGUGACCCACAUCCACUCCCAAUUCCUCUUCAAUGAUAUGAAAUGAUACAUGAAAUACUCAUAGUAUUAUGAUGAAGCAUACAAUUAGAAGUUAUGAUGAUCAUACAUGGUAGGAUGUAAUAUACUUUGAUAUUUUGAUACCAUGAUGAUUUGAAAUACUUAUGAUAAUGAUGAAUGCAAUACAAUGAUAUGUAUAUAAUGUGUUGCAUAUGAUCAUGAUUAUAAUUGCUUUGACUUGAAUUCAAGGUCCUAUCAAUAAAACUUAUUGAUAGGUGGAGUUUGGUUUAAAUUUUGUCAUCAAUUGGUUGUCAUUAUCAAAAAGGGGGAGAUAGUUAAAUCUCGGAUUUUAAUGAUAAACCAACUGAUAGAGUUUAUGAUCUAAUAUGCGUUUUGAGUGACGCAGGACUAGCUUCGAUCAUGAAGAGAGAAUUAAAACAAAAAGAAUCAAUGUUGAGCCGGAGUGGAACAUGUCAGAAGAUUAGACAUCGAGCCAGACGAUCGGUCAACGAAUCAGCAGAAGACUUUGUGCCAUGAGUUCGGGCAUCAGGCCUAGAAGAGCGGACAUUGCACCAAGGAGAUCGGAGUUACAGAGGUCAACAUACCGAUUGGGCAAAAGGCAGCAAAAGAGGACGAUGCGCCGAAGGAUUAGACGAAGCGCCGAUGAACCAAUGGCAUACCGGACAACAUGUGAUUAAUGCUUUGUAAUAAUUAUCUAGAUCGAAGUAGCUUUAGUUAUAAUUGAGUUGGUUUAGAAUGUAACCAUGCCAACUCAAUUAUGGGCCAAUUGGGCCCAAAUUGGGACUGUUUUGGGCCAAGAAAAAGGCUCAUUCAGUGACCCAAAAGUUGGGUUAGGCGGUGGCACCGCCAGAGGCUCAGUCUCCAAGACACAAUCUCCGAGACUAUGUCAGGCAGUAGUACUGUCAGACUGGGUGAUCGUACCGCCCAAUGUUAAGCGAUAGUACUGCCAGAUUGGGUGAUCGUACCGCCCAAUGUCAAGCGGUGAUACCGCCCAAUGUUAAGUGGUGGUACCGCCAGGACUCGGGAUGAGACCUUUUUUGGCUCUAUUUUUAAAGCAAUUUGGGGUCUAUAAAUACCCCAGCUAUUCCUGCAUGUAAGAGCAUGAAUUUGAGCAAAAGAGGGGGAAAGAAUACUUGAGUAAAAAUUGUAAUCUCUCUAAGUUUAGCGAGUCUCUUCCUCCUAGAGUUAGAAGGUUUCUAAGGGAGGAGCGAUGUCUAAAAAAAAAGAGAGGUGUAAAGGUUCUCCCUUGAGCAUGUGAAAAGGAAAAAAGAGUGUAAAAGGGUGAUUGAUUUUCGUCCAUUGAAAGAAGAUCGGGUAGUGGAAACCAGUGGUCUCGAGUGAAGAGGAAUCAGGACUAGACGUAGGUCAUGAUGACCGAACCACUACAAACUCGUUGUGCAAUUUCUAUUCUACUUUUCAUUAUCAUUGUUAUUACUUUAUGAGUUAAUUACUUAGUUCACUUACUCUUAGUCAAUCACUCUUUUCCGAUAUCAGUUUUUAUCGAACGAGAAUUUUAAAACCGACGUUUUUAUCGUAAGCACUAAUUCACCAAUAUAUGACUAUGUUGCUUUAGGCUUGUGCUGAACAACAAAGGGCCAUUCUAUGACAGGUAUAGGCUCACUCAUGCCACCCAAAUGACAAGCUUUGCAAGGUAAGAUUUAAAGAGAAACAAAGAGUAAUAAAUGAAGAAAGGGAUGCAAGUUAUACCUAAAAGCCAGCUACAAAAAAUUUUCAAUCAUGCAUUAACAUUAUCACCAUAAAUGAGGAUAUAGUUUUCAAGUAAAUCAAAAAAAUUCAAAAGCAAUUAAAAGGAAAAGGCAACCAUUUAUUUGCAAACCAUGACAGCCUAAACACAGCCUUGUUUCCCACAAGUUGUUGUGAUUCCUAAUAUCAGUUCUAUAUUUCCAACAAAAUACAAGAUAAGUUAUAAAGAUAGAAAAUACAACUCAAAAUCAAUCAUAAACUUAACUAUAACAUUAGGACUCGACCCUUAGCACAACCUUAGUGGCAUGGCAUUGUUACUUUUUCAGACCCAAUCGACCAGAGUUCACCUCACAAAACUAGCCUCUUUGCUUGACCCUCCCCAGUCCCUGUAUUAGGGAGAGUUCUAUGCUGGUCCUGAGUGAUCGUUGUUACAUAAACAAUUUAAACACUGCUAAUAUUGAUGCUAAUCUACAGCACAUUGUAAACUUCAAAUCGGUGUGUUUCAGCUCAACCUUUUAGAAAGUGAAGAGACAGAUUCGUGUGGUUCAAAUCUCUUUAAAGAAUUUCAGCACAAACCCAGCAUUAACCAGUGAAACUAGAUUAACGACUUUAAAAGAAGUAAAGUAGCCACUUCUACAAAUUCUCACCUCAGAGCCUUGAAUGUUAUGGACACUUGCUGCACAUUGUUUGUCACGGAAGCAUAGAAGCGAACUGGCUUCAGUAGCUUUGUGAUUGAAGGCAGUUCUCCAGUAUCAUCCAACUUAUUCUUGUCCUCUAAUUCAGAAUUAACAUUUUUAUUUCCUGAUUUCUCACCCUUGCCGCAAGAUCCAGUUUGCCUUCUCAUAGAUGUCUUCUGCUGCUCAUCCUGAUGACCCAUAGCAGAACCCUGCUGGAACCUUCUCACACACCCAGAUUUCCUUCUCUUCGCACCUGUGACGACAUUGCCCUGCGAAGCCCGAGUGCUUUCGACCUUAGAGAACCCAUCCGUGGAGCCAUCCUCCUCCCGUGCCUCAGGGGGAUUCACAGAGACAUGUCCAUUGGUUCCUAUCUGCUCUGCAGAAUUAAGAACCUCCAAGUUCUGGUCAUCACCCAUUCUAUCUAACGAAGUGGUCAAGUUAACCUCCUCUGCCCUGCUCUUCUUCAAGUCUCCUAUCUCUUCCUCCACUACCAGUUUCUUUCCAACUAGCCCCAUGCUUUUAUCGCCAUCUGCACCAGCCACCGCCGUGCCCGUGGCGUCAUUCUGAUUCAACGAGGUUGGAUUCGGUGCCGUCUUUGAUUCCUCAGUCUGGAGAGAUCGCUUCUUGUGGGCCGCGAUGCCGUACGGACCGCCAUGCUUCCGCUUUCGUCUCCGUGCCCGCGGCGACCUCGAUCUGCCCACACAUCGGAAGAGCUCAAAAUCGACAAAAGAAAAAGAAGACAAAAAGUAGGAGAAACCCUCCCCAGCAAAGAACUGACAUUUAGAGUAGCGAAGAGAACAGGCUGACCUCUCUUCGAAUGCUUCGAUGAUAUCAGCACAGGACUGGAUGUUCUCGAAGGGUUCCCAGGUGUUGGCCGUCUCCGGCCAUCCUCGCCUUGGGUCCAACAAGAACAAGGCUUAAGAAAUCGGCGGAAAAGGAAUCCCUAAAGCGAAAAGCAACAAGCGGAAUUGAAUUAGGAGGAGGAGGAGGAGAUCUACCACUUGAUUAGGUAUUGGAUUUGACCCUUGCGGACUCGUUUCUUCCUGAUGUCUUCGAUCUCGUAGAAACCGUCCUCUAAUCUCGGGACCUCGCCUGCUUCCGCCUCCCCGACCUCCUCCCCUUCUUCCUCUUCUUCUUCUUCUUCAUCUUCUUCUUCUUCCUUCUCCUCGUCUCCGACAUCGCCGCUGCCAUCCUCAACUCUACCGUCUUCCCCCGCAGCCUCCGCCGCCGCCGCCGCCGCCUCGGGUUUCUUCUUUCCGACCUUCAUAGUGUCUCCCUCUCUCUCUCUCUCUCUCUCUCUCUCUUUGUCCGCGCAGGCGCCGGUCAGCUGUCCACUGUCGAUUUCGAUGUCAGGCGUUGGCGAUCGCAAGCGUUUUUAAUAUUUGUAAAAAAAAAAUUAAAUUUCCAACUCAAUUAUUAUGAUAUUAUUAUAAGAUUGAUUUCUUAUGAACAACUUUGGCUUUUGAACCAUAUUCUCCCUAUCACACUUAUGAACAACUCAAUUAUUAGGAUUAUUUUUGCAUUGUUCAAAAUAAGGAAUUCUGACUUAUCGUUUAUUUUUACUUAAUCUCAUAUAUAUGUUUUUUUUAUUUUUUUAUUUUAAAUUUCUGAACUUUUAUAUUUUUGUUUGUAAAGAACUCGCUUCUAAGAUGUUUAAAAUGCUCUUGUUGUAAUAACUAACUAAAUAAAUAAAUGAUUACUGAUAGGAGAAAUAUUCAUACUUUUUGUAUGGAGAAUAUAUCUUUAAUAGCUUUUGGCUAAGAAGUGAACAAAAUCAACAUUCUAAUAUAUAUAUUGAACUUAUUAUUUUAUUACUAUUUUUCUAUGGUAUCCAUAUAUAUAUAUAUAUAUAUAUAUAUAUAUAUAUAUAUAUAUAUAUAUAUUCUAAGAGUACUUCAAAAUUUUAAGUUUAAUUAAUAUAUGGCCUCAUUUGAGUAAUUUUUAAGCUUUAUCCUUUCUGCUAAGUGGGAAGCCACGUGUUACGUUCUCAUUCGUAACACCGCACUUCGAUCGGGCGAUGGAGGGUUUGAUUUCGUGUUGGAGGUUCAGGUGUGCUCUGCUCCCAUCUGCCACUGCCGACGUAGCCGCCGCGGGUUGACGGUCGCCGCUGCCUCUGAUUCGCUUGGUUCCGCCGGAUCCCUUCUCGCGCGAAAUGAAUAGGAAGCGGAGAGCGAGGUUCUCGACCUUCCGCUGCCCUGUCUGCUCGUUGUCCUUCGAACCGACGAAUCUAGUUUUGGAGCGUUUAGAGUUCGUCUUUCUGUCUCUUCUCUUGUUUUCCAACGUCAGAUCAGAUUAUCUUCCGAUCAGCAGCAUAGUGGUUUAGUUCAUUCAGUUAAUCGAUAUAUUGUCUCCAAGUGCUUCUUUGAAUUCUGUUUGUUGCUGAAAAAGUUACCGCAAUUCCUUCUCUGUUAGCUAACCUACUUCAAGCUUUCUUAAAUAUUUGCAAGUCUUUUUCUUUUUGUUCUAAAAGAUCUGAAUGUUCACUACCAUUUGGGUUUGGGGAUAUUGUUCGUAUAAAGAUUUUAUCCGAAGAUUAGGGAAGAUUUUAUGCUCAGAAUGAUAUUUUGCAAACUGUAAAAAUCAGAUGUGUAGGUGUGAGACUCAAAUAUCAAUUUUGUGUUAAUAUAUUUAAGGUAAGCAACACAGUAUAUGAUUACCUAAUAAAUAAAACGAUUUAUAUAGGAAAUUUGGUAAUUUAUUGAACAGUGAGUUGGAACUCAGAAGUUCAAAUUGGAAGUCUAAGAUUCCGCUCAUGUAUCAUUGCCCCGACUUGCCUACACUGUUGCAGAAAUGGGCAGCCGAGCCUCACCAGGUGAGCGUGAAAGAUUUUGAAGCACCCCGCUUGCAAAACCACCAAAUUGGAACCCAGGCAUCGCCAUACCCUUGCGAAGCCCGGACUAAUUGAUUUUAUCAAAUAACAGAGCAGAAUAGAGGAGAAAAAAAAGGAAGGACCCAACAGGAAUUGAAUUCCAGUGAUGGAAAUCAAAGCAAGGCAAAAAGGAAAGGCAAUAUGAUUUUUGUUUGGGUUCUUACAGAUGCUUCUUUUGGGGAGAAGGUGUCUUGUUUUCCUGGCAAAGAGAACAAAAAAGAUGAUAUGAGUGCUGCACAGGUGAGCUAGGCUUUGCUACCUAAAAUGUCUUUUAUGAGAUGAUUUGUGUGCAAAUGAGCUGGAAGGAAAUAAUUUUCUGGCCCAUGGCAUCUGAGAUUGACAUAAUGAUUCAGCCAAACUGGGCACCUUCCAUUUUAAUGUAUUCAGUAUCUCUAGUUCAAUUUUGAGGAUAAUGUGGUGCUAAUGUUGAAGAAGUCCAUGUUUUCUGCGACAAUCUGAGGUGUUAAUAAGAAUGAUGAAGAUACCAUUACUAAGAAAUGCAAUAUAAAAUCAGCAGAGAUGAGGUAUGGCAAGAGUGCUUACAGCAGCAAGGUUGGGUUUUUAAAUAAGUGAAGUCUAAACUAGAAAUGAGGAAUGAAUAAUUUCAAUAGUAGUAGAGGAUAAAUACAAAUUUUGCUAGCACUUGUGAUUUUAUUCCUGUUAAGUACUGACCUUGAUUGUGCUAAAAUGUUGAACCAGUUGCCGGAAAUAGGCCAAAUUGAUCGUUUGCAGCAGAAUCCUGCUGGUGAACAUUUCAGGGAAAUGAGGAAACGAGGAGAGGAAGAAAAAAAAAGAUGAGAGUAGGUGAAAAAGAGGAACAGAUAUCUUUUUAUUUGGGAAAGAGGCCAUUUCCAUGCUUGCAGCUGUUGCCACUCAUAGGAUGUCUAACUAGAGAGAGAGAACUUAGUGGAGAAGUGACUCAUGUGAGUCUUUCCUCCUUAAAUUUGUGCUAUAUUUGAAAGUCAGUCUUCCUAUUAUUUUCUUGAUUAUAUGUUUCUUUAUUUUUUUGGUUCAGAUUGCUUUUAAUUGUUCCCAAUAUGUGAAUCCACCCUCGGUCCUAAUCCCAAACGCCAACACCAUUCCUCAUCGGAACUGUGCAUUCUUUGUUAGUCUUUGUCCCACUUGUUGCUAAUCUGCCUUUAUUGUGUUUUGCAUGUUUGAGUUAUGUGUAUGUAUGAAUACACAGUUCUUGGAAGCCACAUUCUUUGUAUGAAUUCAGUGCUUAUUAUAGUGAAGUUGGUUCUUCAUUUAACUGAGGGCUUCUUUUGUGGUCUUUGUUUUUCCUCUCAAUUACAUUCCUUUGUAGUUUCUCUUGCUUAAUAUUCACCCUUCUCACAAUUAGCUGUUGAACUUUGCAUGAGACAAAGCCAUAAAGUUUGGAACUGCUUCAUGUUCUUUUUCACCAUAUUACCAUUUUAGUAGAGUUUUAUUUCCAUCUAUUACUUUGAUAUUGCCCAGUUAUGCCUGAACCAAGCAUUAAAGCUUUCUCAACAGCAAACAAAGUGGUGCCAUUGAUCAUUAUUGUUUCAUCAACAACAGUGACACUCUCCUUUCUUCAUUUCCUGUCUUUUAAGUUAUACAUUUUUUGAAUGUCAUAUUAAAUGAAAGGUCAUUUCAUGAAAAAAUAGCAACUAAUCAGUAACUUAGGAAAGUUGCUAGAGAAUGACUCUUGCUUUUAUUGGAGUUUCUUGAAGAAUAGUUUCUGCCUUCAGUAUCUCAUUCUGGUUCUCAUUUGUGCAGGCCCAGUUCAUAUUGCCAAUUAGUUUUGCUUGAAAGAUGAGAUGAAACAAAUGGGACCAUACAUAGAGGUCAACAACUGAAUCAUUUUUUGGGAGAGGGACCAAAUUGAUUUCUUAUUGCCUUGCUGACUACAGUUCCAAUUAGCCUGGAUCAAGCUUAAACAUGCCUUUAUGACAAAGCAGCCAGGUAAGGCCAAUAAUGGUGCAACACAUACCUAUGUUUAAUUUGACUUAUUAUUCCUCUAUUCUAUAUUCAAUGUCAACUAUGUAUCUCAGGAAAUGGAAAACAUGGAUCUAAUAGGUCAGAUGCAUAUCAGUUAUUAAAUUUAAUCUCAUUUUAAUCAGGAUUAAAAUACCUGUUAUCACUGCUUCGACUAAUUUUCUUCUAAGCUUGGCACUGAAGAGCAGAAGAAUGGACUUUUUUGGCAGUCUCAAAUCAUCUUCUAAUUGUUGACAGGUAAUUAAAACAUUGUUCUUAACUUAAAAUUGUUUGCACAGGCACCAGAGUUGCCGUGUUGUUUUAAUCGAUUGUUUUCUGGUACAGGGAAAUCAGGAGGUGAAGAAGAUACCAAGCAAUCUAAGAAUCCAAUAUCAAAAAAAGUAUCGAUCACAUGGAUUCCUGUAUCCAUCUGCCGACUCCGCCGACAUCCGUAGCGAUCGGUCAACAUGACAGGCAACGCGGUCUCCGCCUAACGGUCUAAGCUUGCUUCCCUCCCUGCUUUCUUAACGGUAAAGUCUUCUUCCGCCUAUAUAACUCCUUCCCGCUCCCCCCGUCUUGUUCCCAGGUUAAAUAAAGAUGGCCAAUGGCGAGAUCAUCGUCGUCCCCUUCCACGACUCCAGCCACGUCUUCCCGACCACCGAGCUUGCCAGCCGGCUCGCCUCCCGUGGUUACCGUGUCACCCUCCUCCUGCCGUCGGCUUCGUCCUCCUCCAGCGCUCUCGACCCUCUGAUCCGAAUCAUGGAGUACUCCAUGCCCCGACCUUCUGGUCCUCCUAUUUUGCCAUCGUCGUCAUUGUCCUUGUCUUGCGCUUCCCCGAGGCCACACUCCCGGAAUGACUGCUCUGCCUUCCGUGAUCUUCUUGCCGAGCGAUUUAAUGGCGGCGGCGACGAUAUGUCUCCCCCGGUGUGCGUCAUCGUUGACGUGAUGAUGAGCCAGCUGCUGGAUGUCUGUGGGGAAUUCGGGGUCCUCGCGGUUCUUUUAUUCACUUCCAGUGGGUGCUCGACCGCCAUGGAUCACGCCGCGUCAAAGCUAUCGACGGCGGACCUCGGCCCGGGUGGAAUGGUGAGUGUUCCCGGCUUGCCAGAGGAGAUGGUUCUGACGGCCGCCGAUCUGAUGAGUCAGGGCCCGCCACCGCUGCCUUUUGGAUCGGGGGAUCUUGCUUUCGAAGAGGUUGCGACUGGGGCGGAUGAUGCUGGGCCACCGCCUCCACUGGUUUGGCCGUCGCCACCGUUGCCCGGCCUCCAUGGACGUCCGCCACCGCCACCACCGGAUUUUGGACUUCAGUAUGUGCCGCUGCUUCCGCGUGGAUGGGGGCACCAAGAUGGUCCUCCACCGCCACCACCGUUCCAACCAGGGCAUCAAGCUCGCCUUCCGCCGACUCAAAGCCGAGGGGUUCCAGUUGUCCCGCCACCGUUUCUGCCAGGAGGCGGUUUUGCUUCACCAAAGCUUCCAUUCGGUGGAGGCUCUCCGCCUCAAGCUAAGCCAGCAACCCCGAGUGGCCCGCCGCUGUUCCGGCUAGGAGAAGGCGGCGGUCCAACCCCACCACCAGGGCCAUGGCGUGGAGGAGGCCCGCAACAUGACCUCGCAGAAACCAAGGCAGUCGCGCUUCUGUUCAACACCUGUGAUGCUCUGGAGCGGCCGUUCCUGGACUACGUCGCCGACAAAGCCAAGAAGCCGGUCUGGGGCAUCGGCCCUCUCCUCCCUUCCCAAUAUUGGUCCGCCACCGGCUCCGUCAUCCACGACAAUGCCAUCAGGCCCAAGGGCCGCGGAGACGGAGACGCCGCCAUCGCCUCCGAGACCGACGUCCUCGAGUUCCUCGACUCCAAGCCCCGUGGCUCGGUGAUUUACAUCUCCUUCGGGUCCCUGGUCGUCCCCAGCGACGCGGAGCUUGCAGCACUGGCGUCAGCCCUGGAGGAGUCGAGUCGGCCGUUCAUCUGGGCCAUCCAACCACGGGCCAUGAGGCACGACGCGGAUGGGCGGCCUGUGGAGGUAGGCGGCGGGGUGGGUUACUUCCCGGAAGGGUUGGCGGAACGGGCGGCGGGGAGGGGGCUGGUGAUCCACGGGUGGGCGCCGCAGCUCCUGAUACUAAGCCACCCAGCCACCGGGGGGUUCGUGACGCACUGCGGGUGGAACUCGACGGUGGAGGUGCUCGGCCGCGGGGUCCCCGUGCUGACCUGGCCGGUGCACGGGGACCAGGUCUGGAACGCUAAGCUCGUGGCGAGGAGGCUGAGGACGGGGCUGGCGAUCAAGGACGAGCGCGGGGCGGUGACGAAGGCGAAGGUGGCAGAGGCGAUCGAGCGGUUGAUGUCGGACGUAGGGACGAGGGAGCGGGCAGCGGCGCUGGCAGCAGGGCUGUUCUCGGGAGGCUUCCCUGCGAGCUCCGAGGCCGCUUUGGAUGCUCUGCUGGAUUUCGUGGCGGCGAAGUGCCAGAGAAAAUGAACCAGGAUGACCGUUGAGAUCUCCAUGACGGCAUGAUCACAGCCGUCGAUUAUACUUACGCUGUAAAAUGAUCACGGCCUGUAAAAUGAUUACUAUAGCAAUCUAUAUUAUGCGUCUGUCUAUAACUAUAUUUAUUGUUAGUUACUUCUCUACCAAGCAUUCGAUCAAUAUCAAUCAGCCGAGCAAUUCAAGAUAAAGCCAAACGAUCCUUACGCUGUUAUCUCUAUCAGACUCAGCAAACGAUCAACUCUCUGAAUGUUAUCUCGUAGACAAAUGAAUCUGAUUCCAUAACAACCUAACCUCAUCCAGGCAAAUGGGGAAUCUUGAGACCAAAUCAACGGUGGAAGAUGAGGAGGAGGAUCAUCGCCGAUCGGGUCUUGGCGGCUCGGCUUGUCUACCUGCUCGAGCACGCGACGGAGCCACGGAGGGAAGAGAGGAACGUCCGCAUACGAAUACUCGUGCGGGCCUCCGUCUGCCGUCCAUGCGAUUUCCCACGAACGGCGACGAUUCGUCCCGUUCGGGCCACGCGAUUCCCUCUUUUGGGCCUUCUCUUAGUGGGCCGGAAAGAACGCAUUUCGGCUGCAUCAAAAGCCACUCGAUGGACUCAACCACCGCGGACUCUACAACUCUCUCUCUCUCUCUCCCUCCCCCCACCCCCUCGUUGUCUCCGAGAUCUCGCCAUGGCCAUGAGGAACCGGACGCCCAUCUACAGGAAGUACCGCGAUGCCCUACGCAACGUUCGGGUCCCUUCCCCCUCCUCCCACUCAGGACCGUCGACCUCCUCCUCCUACUCCGGCAGCGGGGGCGGGCCGGUGAUCGAGCUUGUGAACGCCUCGCUUCUCCGCCCCGAUCGGUCCUACGCUCCUCUCAGCACGGAAGACCCUGGUGGCUCGAGGUCCGAUCUACGUUUUCCUCUCUUUAUUAGGUUUUCACGUAUCUUCGAUUAAAACUCUUCUCUCUUUCUGUCGAAACCCUAUAGCUGAUAUCGUCAAUUUUUUUAGGGUUAAUUGGACUCAGACUGCACCCAGAAUUCCUUCGGGGAUCACAUUUUAGGGAUGAUACCCCCUUUUUUUUUGGGAAUUUGGAGUAGUUAUCAUUGAGGAUGAGAAAUGAUGUGUGCGAAAUUGGUGGUGGAUCGUUUCAAUUGUUGUAAUUGACAUUAUUGUUCUAUCAAAAAGUGAGUAUGAAGUCAAUUCGUAGCUCACUUGGGUGGGACUAAAACCUAAGAGCUAAUGCUAAAUUACAUGCUAGAAAUGGAUCUGAAAGUGAUAAGAGAGUGUCUGUUUUGAAAGUUGACAAUUUUGAUGGAGAAGACCCAUCUGAUCGCUGUGAAUCUGUAAGAGAUAGUAGUCCUGAAUACACUUUGCUUAUUUAUCAAACUUUUAAGUGUUAAUCGUACCUUGCCUAUGUAAUUUUGAAAAUAUUGCUUAUAAGGAAGAUUAUGAUGUAGGAUUUUCUAGUCCAGUCACCCAAAAGAGGAAUGUGGGAAGAAAAGACAUUUCUAGUGAUGACAGCAGAUUUUAGGCAUUACGAAAUGGACUGAAACAUUGUAUGCUAAUAACAAUGUAAGGAGGUACUGAUUUGACAUUCGUGUUACAGGAACAAGCCAUUUGCUUCUUUCUAAAAGCAAAGAGCAGUGGAGCUUUUACUAGAUUUGCAUGUUCAGUUUGGUAAAAGCGGAACUGUACAAAGCACAUUAAAUCUAGUUAUACUUUAUAGUUCAUAUCAUAAAUUAUUAAUUUAUAUAAUUUAUAAUCUCUCUUACGAGCACACAGCACUGUGCUAUGAUUUGUAAAUUAACAGUUCCCUUCUGUUUCUAUUUGUUCCAAUGAUUUUAUGGAACAAAAUUGGAUUAUGUAAGCAAUUGUGGUUUUACAAUUGUUUCUGUAUGCCUUUAUUUUCUUGUGCUACAUAUGUUGUAUGUAAAGCUUGAAAUGGCCAUUAUGGUAAAUCUGAAUAAAGGGGUAAAGACACAUGCAUUAGUAAAUACUCAUCCCACUUUACUUCCAACUGACGCUAUGUCAUUCCCCUGUAAAUAUGUUUUUUGGAAAUUAUCACAUUUAUGCUUUAUAUAUUGCUUUCCAAUAUGGGUCCUUUCAAGGUUUAAGCUAAUAUAUUUUUUAAUUUAUUUGGAGUCUCUUGAGCAUUAAACUAAAGCAGUUGCAUGCCAUUCCUUUUCAUUACUUUGCAUUUCUUGUGCUUUUUAUCUUGACAAACUUGUUGUAGAAUUGUUUCUUAAAUGCUGGAAUUGAAGCAGUGAUAUUUGGCAAUAUUCACUCAACACUUCUGGUGAUACUCAAAAUGCCAUAAAACCAAUUAAAAGUGUUGUUAGCUUAUUGCAGUACAGGUGCAGCUGUGGUUGGAUUACCUCCAGCUUGGGUGGAUGUUUCUGAGGAAAUAGCUGCAGACAUGCAGCGUGCUCGGACAAAAAUGUCAGAGUUGGUCAAGGCCCAUGCAAAAGCCUUAAUGCCUUCGUUUGGUGAUGACAAGGAGGAUCAACAUGCCAUCAAGCUUCUUACAUAUGAAAUAACAGAUGUAUUGAAGAGGUCUGAAAAGAGACUGCAGAAGCUAUCUUCCAGUGUUCCUUCUGAAGAUUCAAAUGUUCGGAAGAAUGUUCAGGUGUAGUAUAGCUUGACUUUUAGUUUCUUUUUAUGAUUAUUGCCAACCAUCACCGGUCUUCCUCAUUUGCAUGUGAUGGUAGGAACAAAAUUCUUAUGCUAAGUGCUAGUCUGUUUACACAAUCACCAUCUCUUGGUCAAGAAAUCAUGUAGAUGGAUAUGGGUGGAUGAGACUUCAAUGUCAAAUCAUACUGAAGCACUUCAUUGACUCCAUUCGUACUGUAUUUAUUGUCCUCUUGCUGCCCACUUUUUGGAUAUUUAUUAUUUUGGGUGUUGAUUGUGCAGCGGUCUCUUGCAACUGACCUUCAAAACCUUUCGAUGGAGUUCCGGAAGAAACAGUCUUCUUAUUUAAAGCGUCUUCAGCAGCAACAAGAAGUCUGUUGAUCUCUGAUCAUGCUUAUGCAUGUCAUUAAUUGGGCUUCUUAUGUGUGAAGAAGUUUUGAAUGCUAUCUUUGAUGUCUUUAGGGGCAAGAUGGUGUUGAUUUGGAAAUGAAUCACAAUGGGAUCAGACAUGAGAUAGAAGAAGAUGACUUUCGUGAUGUGGUACUUUUUUCUCUUUUUCAUAUUUCAUUUGACAGUCCUAACAAGAUAUGGCAAUGAAUGUUUAUUGUGGGAUUGUGAACCCUUUUUUAGAUCAAAUCUUCAUAUGAAUAUCUUACAGCAUACAUGAAAAGAAAAUUUCUUUGUCUGCGACUGAGCAUGAAACUAUUUUAGCUAAUUUAUCAACAUCCAGUCAUUUCUAAUUCUUGAUCCUUUAUCCUGGUCUUUACUCCUUUUUUUCAUGACAGGGUUUUAAUGAUAUUCAGAUGUCUGCACUAAAGAGAAGUGAGGUAUUCACAAGAGAGAGGGAGAGGGAAAUUGUACAGGUAACACUUGGAAAUUUUAGUUUGUCUAUGCCCAUAAUGUUUGUGUGCUCUAUUUAUGGCUUCGUCUUGUGAAAUCUGUAACAAUAUGAAGUUUCAUGUAUGUUUUUCAUGACUUAUCAAAAAUUCUUGUUCGUAGGUUGUAGAAUCAGUUAAUGAACUUGCUCAGAUCAUGAAGGAUCUCUCAGUCCUUGUGAUAGAUCAGGUGCUCUUUUAACCUUAAGAGAAUUCUUGAUUUCCUAUUUUCCUGCUGCUGCUAAGUGGCUAUUUUCUGAUGCAUGUGAUGCAAGCAGGGAACGAUAGUUGAUCGGAUAGAUUACAAUGUACAAAAUGUUGCAAGUUCAGUAGAAGAGGGCUAUAAACAGUUAGAGAAGGUGCCUCUCUUCUCCUUUUUUUUUUUUUCUGCUUGUAUUUGUUCAACUAGGCUCUUUAGUUAUCUAGAAUGUGCAAGUUGAUCAUGCUGAAACUACCUGUCAUCUGCUAGUUGUAAAAUGUUAAACUAAUUAGGCAAUUUUUUGGAUGUAUGGCCAAUAGCCAGAUGGAGACAAAUACAUUAUGUUUUUCACUAUUGCUGGUAGCUGCAGUCUCAUGGAUAACCAACUUAUGCAACAUGUAGUUGUUGCAGACUUGGUAUAACUGUGAUAUUUCAAUGUUUAUGGUAUUUUACUUGGCUAAUUUGAACUUCAGCCAAUGGUAGUUAGGUUAGCUUGUGACAUGGUCAAAAAUUUCAUUGACACUGUGAGCAUGUUCUUUUAGCUGGGCCCAAAUAGUUGGAAUUUGAAGCGCUCCCUUUGUCAGGCACUUGGCUCUCUGGUCAUUUCUCUUCGUCUUUCUCAUUGGCUCUCUUUUGAUUCUUGACCUGAUAAAUACCUAACAGUUUGGUUCAACACUUGUGGAACACCCUUUUUUUUCUUGCAAUAGAAAAAGAUUUAUGUUAUCUCUGAAGUAAUAUUAUGAAGAACCAUUUAUCAAAAUCUUUUCUAUACUUUGAAACCUUCUCCAUUGUGACACCAUGUUUAAGACAUUGCUGGUUAGGGAUCUUAAUUAUAACAUGUGAUAUAUCUUGAUAAUUCUGUGGGAUAUGUUUAUAUCUUUUUCUUGAGGUCUAUGUUUCGGUUUGCUAACGAUAGAUAUCUUUGUUGGAACUUGCCAUACAUGCUCAGUUAAGCAAGGAUGUUUGAAUUCCACUUCUCUAUUUGUAUUGCUUUAAACUUGAUGAAAUCUUACUGCAAACUAAUACAUAUUUGAAUGUGGCAAGGGUGUCUUGUUGCGCCCUACUGUAUUGGAUUUCACUGGAACUCCAUAUGAAUGCUGACGUCUUAUCUGGUUGUACAUUUGCAGGCAGAGCGAACACAGAGGAAAGGGGGCAUGGUCAUGUGUGCCACUGUGCUUGUGAUAUUAAUUUUCAUCAUGCUUGUCCUCCUGAUAUUGAAGACCAUAUUAUUCUAGUUCUGAUUAACCAACACAUGAAGUCACAUGAUCUCUUGUGAAGCUUGAGCCACAUGGCUUCACCUGUUUGAACAUUUCCAUGGCUCUUGCCCACAGGAUCUUAUCAUAGGUUCUCAUUCAACCAGUUUGCACGUAACUUAAUUGAGCUGAAUCUUGCUUCAUGAUAUAGGAUUGGCCAUGGUUCGAGAGCACAAUCGUCUGACGAGUAUUUCUUCUGAUAAUCAAAGGCCCAGGUUGGUGCGUGUGUUAGCUGGUUGUUCCAAUUGUUUGAGAUCUUGUAUAAGAAAACUCUGUAAAGAUUCAAGUAAUGUUUGAAACACAAUAUUUUUUCCCCGCAGGGACACAAUGUUUUGCCCAAAAGUUCAUAGUAUGUUAAUCAAGCUCUUUUCUCAAGUAGAUUUAUUGUGAAAGCUGGAACAUGUUGUAUGGUUAUUUCUGCAUGAAAGAGAUAUCCUGCCUAUGUGGAGCUGUUGUUGAGGACAGCAUUUUAACCUCUUAUUUGGAGAUGACUCCUUGGAUGGUAUCCUCUCCAGGUCAGAAUGAAUAUUUCUCCAAAAGUUCAUGGUAUGUUGUUGGGCUAUAUUAUCUCAAAUAUAUUUUUUGUGAAACCUGAAGCAUGUUACAUGGUUAUGUCUGCACGAAAGAGAUAUAUUGGCCAUGUAUUUUUAUCCUCUUAUCUGGAGAUAAUUCCUUAGAUGAUAUCCUCUCCUUGUGAGAAUCAAGUCCACACAUGAGUGGAAACAGAUGCAAUCACUGUGAUGCUACUACUACACUAGUUGGUUGGUUGCUAAAUGUUUAUGUGGAUGAUCAUCCUGGCUCUUGUGAGUGGAUUGUGCCCUUCAUCACUCUCCCAGACAUCCACCAGAGUAGGACAUCAGUAACAGUAAAUUUGAUUGGGGAUCCAAUGCUGCAAACUCUCCAUUAAACCAAUACAACUUGUAGCAGAUGAUUGUUGCCAAGAAGAAAGUACCAAGGACCACAUCUAAGGCUCUCUUGAUCAUAUACCUUCAUCCCUCAAUUCUUAGCUUUCUAAUCUCAUCUCUAUACAUUUAUAUUAUUUGAAUUCUGAUUUUUCAUUAUAUUAAAAAAAAAUCUUUCAUUCAAACAUUAUAUGCUAUUAGAUGUUUACAAUUGGAACUCAUAUCCACUUAACUGAUCAUGUUAAGUCUUAAUCACUAAGAUUAAGAUAUAGAUAAAAGAAAAAGGAACAAGCAAACAUGGACAAAGGGAUGGGACCUAAACAUCUUGCUGGCUAAGUUAUGGUUUGCGGAAUGAUUGCCAUUGUUGUCACCAUGGAUCCCACCCCAAAAGAUGCGAAUGGGGAGAGCUAUUCCUCUCCCAAUACUGUAUCUACUACAGUAGCUAAGGAUAGAAAGGAAAAGAAGGAAGAGAAAAGUCACCAACUUACCUUGAGGUGGAGGUGGUGGUGCUCAAGCAAAAGAGAUGUGGGACGCCUAAAGUGAUAAAUCACCCACUUGCUACCCACACAAGGGUGCCUUAGUUAUUUGAGACAAAGUUGGCACCCACUUGGUUUGAACUUUAGGGUUCCUUAUUCCAUUUCCCUAUGGAUGGAUCAUUGGUCUCCCACCCUCUAUCAUGGAAUUGAAGUUUGAUUGCACUUUGCAUUAGUUCCCAAGAAGUAUGUACAUAUAAUACAGUGAAUCUUUUUUUUUUUCUUUAAAAACAAUUUAUUUACUCUGGGAAAAUAUAAUUUUUAGGUGAUUACACUUCAAUGAAAAAAGUAUCUUACUAAACAUAGAAUUCAAACUCAUGUAAAUUUAGGUGUUUUUGCUAUUGCUGGAUUCAAGGAGUUAAAUAAAUGCACAAAUAUUGAACCCACAAAUAAAAAAAUUAUUAUGUGAUGUUCACAGAUGAAUUUGAGCCAACUUUUUACUGCAGACUGGAAGGAUUGAUGUGAAGCAAAAUGGAGUCUUUUACCCUCAUUUACUACAAUCACUGGAUUGUUGCAUGGUUUAUAAGCAAGAAAUAAAGAGUUGGGUUGCAGUGAGUAGUUCUCUUUCCUUUCCUGCUCAUAAACAGAUACUGUCUCCCUUCCCAACACACACUGAGAAAUCCAAAGUUCCAGAUAGAGACACAGUCCACCCCCACCCCUUCCCUCAUCCCAAUGCUUUUAUCCCACCUACACUUCCUUUUCCUCUCCACUUCCCCUUCUUCUAGUUGUAGAACCCCCCCCACUUCCCCUUCCUCCUUCCCUUCUCCUUCUCUAUAAGACUUGACCUCCGUCUCUUCCGUUGAUCCCCAUCCUCGCUCUCUUUCGUCCUUUCUCCUCCGCCCAUUUUGUUUCCUUCACAAAAAAUGGCGAAACUUUGUGCUUCUCGCUCGCAGGCGGAGGACUCGACCGCCCGCCUCGCCUUCGUCUAUGACUGAGCUCAAAGGUGCCUCCUUUACUCUACUGCUGCUGCUUGUUCGUUCUUAUCGGCGUCGCCUAGCCUUCGGCUCCUCGGGGGACGGAUGAACAGCACCACGGCGGCGGCGGGGAUGGGGAUGGGGGGCCGGGCGCCGUUCACGGCGGCGCAGUGGCAGGAGCUGGAGCACCAGGCAUUGAUCUAUAAGUACCUGAUGGCGGGGGUGCCCGUGCCGCCGGAGCUCGUGAUUCCCAUCCAGAGGAGCUUUGAGGCCUUGGCUGGGCGAUACUACCACCACCCUGCGCGUACGUAGUUCCUACCUCUUCUUUUCUUCCAUCGCUGGCUUGGUCGUCUUCCUCUUCUGGGCUAUUGUUUCAGUGAUGGUAUUGAUGUCAAGAUCGGUUUUUCCUUCUUUUUUUUUUUGUUGGGUUUUAGAGCUGAAACCGGUUAGCUUUUGGGUCCCUGCUGUGAUAUGCUGCAUCUAUUUGUGUGUUCUUAGUGUCAUCUUCCCUUGUUUCUGUAAUGUGAUCGAAAGAUGCGGACUUUUUACAUGUUGGUCCGUUUCUUCUUUCUUGUUUGAUGGAUUUAAAGCUUAGAUUUGGUAGUUUCUCCGGAGCUAACGCCUCGCUAUCUUAUCGGGAUGCCGGAAGUUGGGAACUUUAUACUAUCAUGAUGUUCUUUAUAGGCGCUCUGAGUUGUACUUUUUCUUUUCUUUUGUUUGAAUGCCAAGGACAUGAAUACAUAAACUUUUCUCCCUUUACUUGAUUUGAUUCUAAGUUUUUCCCAUUUAUGUAUCAAAAUAUUCAAUCUUUUCUUCUUUUUUUUCCCAUUUCUUUUGGUAACAGAGUGUAUCUGCAAGCAUUGCUUAUCAGCUUUAUUACUGUUUUAAGGUUUCUUUUGGUUUCCACAAUAAUAUAAUUUCGGUUUUGCUGCUGCCCCACGCUAAUUUUUACUAUCUUUUGAUGGAUGCAACAGAAGAAGACUUCUGAAAUAUUGGUUUAUGUUUUCUGUGCUUGUUUUCAUUGUCGUGGCCUAUAUUGUAAACCUUUUGGAUGAUAUAAGCUGUUUUAAUGGGGAAAUGGUGGUUCUUCUCGAAGAUGAUUGUAGCCAUCAAAAGUGUAGCCAUCCAUCAUUCAAAGAAAUCUAAUAUGUUUGGAUGUUCUUUGAGUUCAGUAGCUUACUGUUCCUACUAUGGAAAGAAGCUAGACCCUGAACCAGGGCGGUGCCGCCGAACCGAUGGGAAGAAGUGGCGGUGCUCCAAGGAUGCGCACCCCGACUCCAAGUAUUGCGAGCGCCACAUGCAUCGUGGCCGCAACCGUUCAAGAAAGCCUGUGGAAUCACAAUCCGCCUCCCAAAUGCAGUCAUCCUCAUCUACUGUGACCUCCAUUGCUCCUGCCGGUAGUGGUGGCGGUGGUAAUGGUGGGGGAAGCUUCCAGAGCAUUCCCCAGCUCUCGGUUGCAGGUCAUAGCAAUACACAACAAAGCUUAUGCCUGGGGACCUCCAGCUCCUCUCAGCUGCCAUUGGGCCCUGGUCCUUUUGGCAACAGGUAUCUUUUCUUCCCUCACUGUGAAAUGGCAGUACAAUUAUCAUCAUUAGGAUUUUGUCUAUGUGAUCAUCCAUUAUUGAGAUGGUUAUUCCGGACUAAAGUUGGAUGUUUGGAUAAUAAAUAGGCCCAGCUGCUCAGAUUUACAUUAUUUGGAAACGUUCAUUUGUGUUGAUUUAUGGAUUAAAUAUAAUAGUCUGGUACUCUGCCAGCGCGGUAGCCACCUUUGGAGAAAUCUAUUAUCUUGUCACCCAUUUGGAGCAGUCUGGAUCGGAGUCGUGAGUGCACAGUAUAAUGGCUGAAACAGGAAGUCUUUAGUUGUUAAUUUUUGGAGAAGUGCUAAAUUUUCUGUGAACUUCCUCUUUUCUGAAUAUAGAUGAUAGCAACAGGUUUUCAGCUUGUUAGACUCUUGUUUCUAGCUUUUCUUGAAACAGUUUUAGCAAUCUGGUCUCUCACAGGCUGUAGAGAAAUUUAUGCUGUUAUAAAGCAGGCUUUGUAUGCAAAACCUGAGGCUAUUGAUUCAAUUCUGUGCUGUCAUUUGUCAUGUGACAGUGACAACCAGGUAUUGGGCAUACCAUCAUGCUCAUCUCCAUUUUCCCCGGUCAUUUUUACCUUCAUAGGCUGUGGAGGAAGCUGGAUGCAACGUGAUCACCAUGUCACAGCUACAAAUUUCUCCAUCUUUGCACUAUGGUGACAGGAUGUCACUUAUUGAAUAUCUUCGAUAAAAGACAAGACCUGUCCUUCCAGCUGUAACUUAUGACUUCUAAGCAGUAUUAACAUAGCAAACCGGUAGUUGUUUGCAUCGCAUGGUUCCUGUGCCAGUUCAUCAGUUGACCGUCUCAUUUUUACAUGUUCUCUACAGACCCUUUUAGAAACUUGUCCUCAUGAAACAAAGUUGUGCUGCUUGUGCCUUUUUCCUAUUAGGUGAUGCAGUUAUCACUGUCAUAGUUGUCCCCACAGAGCUAUAUUGAAAGGAAAAGGUCAUCCGCAAUCAGACAAUUCUAACUUAGGAAAUGGACCUUGUUAUCUUCAUUUUAUAUUAAAAAACUAAUGGUCCACUCUGGAAACAUUCCAUGUUAUUGGACACUCAAAGAAACCAUCAAAUAUAUUAGUUCUUGGGUAUUCUUAUAGUGAUCAGUGAAAAUGGUUGUGUCAUUUUGGGAAAUUUAGUCCCUUUUUUCUUGCUUAGCAAUAAUGGCUUAUGAGUUAGUGAAUGCAACAUCUUUGUAGGAAUAAAAGUCACAUGCAAUAAGGACGCAAUUAUUGGAUUUAGCCAAAGAAGGCAAAUGAUUGACUCAAGUUGAUGGAUGAAUGACUAUGUCCUAGGUAGAUGAAGUGCAGAAAAAUGUGAUCCAUAUUUCAAGUUCUUCAUGUUGGCAUCAAGGGCUUGCAAAAGCAUCCUUGAUCUUGUGCACUUUUUGGUUCUUAUAUCCUAGUUCUGACUAUACAACCUAGAUACCCGAAGAAUGAAUAGGAGUGGGUACAUGUAGGAAGCGAAGCAGCAGCUGCACGGUGGAUUUCGUAAUGAGUUUCAGUAGUUUCUGGAGCGAGUUCAGUAGGUCGAAGUUUUGCUUUCUAUGUCCAAAAAUAAAAUGGCUCUCCAUGUUAUCAGCAUAAAUUCAUUCUUCUGCAUAUUGCAGGUACUUCUGUGGUGUUAAACCUGGGGCGGACGAGCACAAUUUCUUCUCAGAAACUUCUGGAAGUACAAGGCAUCUUGGAAUGGAUUCAAUUGACGGCUCAUGGCGCUUGAUGCCAUCCCAAGUGUCUUCAUUUCCACCAUCAGAAGCUCGAGGUCCUUCUCUUCUGCAGAGUGCUUGCCCUCCACCUCAGUCAGUUCAAGAUCUUGGGCAGGUCUCAUUCAGCUCAAUAUCAAAACAACAGCAGCAGCAUUCCUUUGUCGGGAGCAAGUUUGAUUCACCACAGCCCGCGAAGCAUGAAAGCCAAUUCCUCCGGCCUUUCUUUGACGAGUGGCCUAAGACGAGAGACUCUUGGUCUGAUCUAGAAGAAGAUCGAUCCAACCGAGCAUCAUAUUCCACAACCCAGCUCUCGAUUUCCUUUCCCAUGGCCUCCUCGGACUUCUCUACCUCCUCUUCCAGGUCACCCAAACGUAAGUUCAUUGACUUCUUCCGAUAUAUAAUUUAUCUAUUCCUUAUUAUAAAUUUGCAGCUCUUUCUUGUUGUAACGAUUUCUCUCACUGAUCCUUGUCUCUGCAGAUGAUUGAAAGAAAAGCACUUCGAUCGUUGGGUGCCGACUCCAAAUGGCAUUCAAUGUUCUUGCUUCUUAGUGCAUUUUUAGGAGAUUGUCUCAAGUUUGCCAUCAUCUCUCUUGAUGUGGUAGAACCUUUUCAAUUCCCUGAUGUUGCUGAUUUCUUGUAUUGAAACUGUAUGUGGAAGAUGUAUGCAAAAGUUGUCAUUUUGGUCAUCUACCACAUAUCUUGAUGCUUGAUGUCAUCUUUUAAUCGUUCCAAAUAAAUCUUGUGGAUACUUUUGUGGCUCAAAACUUUAAAGUAGACAAUCAAAAUUUAUCAUCUAAAAAGCUCAUUUUUCAUGGUAUUAGUUUAUAAUGAGAACAAUUGAUGGUUUAGUUCUUAAUGAGUAGAUUUGUUCACUGUUUAGUCAACAACUUCAAGAACACUUUUUUUUGUCUCUCACACAAAAUGUGAGAGCUGGCAAUUUAUUGUUGUUGUGUAAUUAUCACUGUUUCUUAAGCCUUAUUUCGUGGUGGUAUUGACAUAAAAACAGAAAAAGAUGGCUUUUUUCUUGAGCAAAAAUUUAGGCAUUUUGCUAAAUUUGACCAACUUAAACCAAAUCCAAAUCAUGUCUUGGACUUCAUUUUUCUUGGUAGUCCAAAAGUAAUGCAAAUGAUCUUAUUAGUAGUUUUACCUUAAAUAAGUUUUCAUGAAAUGUUUAAAGUAUUUAUGAUAAAAUUAGAAUAUAAAAUCUUAAAGUAAUAUAUAGUAAAUUAGCAUGUGUGUGAAAAAUAAAUAUGGAUGAUAUGAAUUUCAAAUUCAUACAAAAAUAAGGACCCUAUGACGAGAAUAAAUAUUACUUGUAUAAGUACGAGAUAAAAAAAAAGAAAUAUAAAAUAUGAUGUAAUAUUUAUAUUUUUUAAAAACAAAAAAAUCAUUACAACAAUGCCUUAACCAAUCAAAACGUAUAUCGAAGACUAAUAAUAAUAAUACCUAUAUUUGUUUUAAUAAAGUAAUACAAAUAAAGUUUGUUAAAUAAAUAUAUCAAUAAUGUGACUUCAAUAUCAGAUAUUAAAGGACUAAAUAAAUAAAAAGGUCAACAAUUGUGGCUUGACAUUUAUGAUUACAUGAUGAGUACACAUAUCUGUCUUCUCUUUUNNNNNNNNNNNNNNNNNNNNUAUAUAUAUAUAUAUAUAUAUAUAUAUAUAUAUAUAUAUAUAUAUAUAUAUAUAUAUAUAUAUAUAUAAAGGGCAUUUUUAGUGAAUUUUGUAAAGCCCAAAAUCAACAUACGAUCGACGGCACAGAUUCAUCCUUGGAAAUAGGACGGACGGCUCACAACCAACUGGACUUGAAGCAACCGGCAAUGACGGGUACAUGACCGGGUUGGUGACGAGCCUAACCGGUGGAUUUCCGAUAUUGGAGGUGGAGAAGGGGCGAGGGAAGGGAAGCGUACUCUCGCCUUGUGCCUUCCACACGAUUCUUCGGCCUCCAGUUCUCCGUCGUUCCCAAGGGAAGGUGAGAUUUUGUGGUGUGAUUCUUCUUGGAUCUUCCUCCGUCGGUGUAUCCCACUGUUAUCCCCCAAUUUUUGGCGACUGAACUUGAUUGAUCGCACUUCUUUUUUGCCCUUUUCACCUUUGGUUCUGAUCUGCGCCGUGAAUUUGUAAGCAUCGCCGAACCUUUUCUGAGAUUUUUUGGGAAGUAUUUGUUGCUUAAUGUUUCUUCUUCUUUUUCUCGAGAUCUGAUGGUUGGGGUGGAUUGGGAUCUAAAGGAAAGGGUGGACCUUUUGCUAGGUUUAGGAAUUCAAAGUAUUAGUGCAGAGGGCAGCUGAAAACCUCUGAUCCAUUGGAUCGUGUUCUUGUUGAUGCAUAUUUGUGGCUUUGCUAUUUGUUUGAAAUUUUUUUGUGUUGAAUCUGUCGGAAAGUGUUUUGCGGAAUUCUAUAGAGGUGAUGUCUUUUGGUUUUAGUUGAUUGACUGAAAGUUAUUGUGAUGUGGAUUUUGGUUGAGUUGUUUCAAGUCUUUUGCUUGGGAGGAGAUCAAGAAGUAAUGUUAGAUCCACCUCUUUGUAUGUUAUCUUGGGCUGAUCAUAGGACAACUGGUUAAAGUUCUUCACUUCUAGCCUAGAAGUGUUGUGGGAGGACUUAAUAUUGCCUAGUUGAAAUCAAUUGAACUGUGGAAAUCGUAAUCUGGAUUAGAUUAAAUGUCUAGAUUUUUAGCAUAUUUGUAUCAUGUUACUAUGAUGAAUGUUCUCACAUCAAAAGGAAUUCUAACAACAAAGUGCAAUUUCGAGAAAUGAGUGGGUAAUUGGGUGUUGGUCUGACUACUAUUUUGCUUUUAUAUAUGCAGAUUGUCAUUUUUGUCUCCUUUCGGUUCCGAUGAUUGUUUUGAUCUCAAGUUUUAGUUUGCAGUUAUGCAAACACAUAACUUGCUGAAAUGGGCAUGUAUAAUAAAUUUGUCAAGGAUUGUAACAUCAAGAAAUCCUUUUUAAGUACAUCACAGUGAGUAUAAUUUGUGUGUCACAAUUAUGUGCUGUUAUGCUUUAACAACUCUUUCAGAUGAAACAAUCUGAAAAAGGAUAUUGUUCAUGCUGAUUAAAUGUUUUGCUGAAUGUUUAAGCUGUGCUAUUAUAAAAAUGGAGCAUUGUGCCACAACUUCUAUUCAUUUCAUGAUUUUUUGUCUCAUUGACGGUUGAGUUUUGCUCGAAUAUUAUUGUUCUUGCCUAUAUGGAUGUACAUAUGCCACAUGACUUAAUUCCCUGUGCAAUUCUAACUUUAUGGAAAUAAACUUCAAUCUGAUUUUAUUUACGGUUCAAUACUUAAAUAGUAUAUAACAUUUUGCAUUUUUAUAAAAAAUAGGUCCACUGUAAGAUGGAGUUUAUGAUGCAGUGAUGGCAUGCUUAAAAGAAAUCAGGUUAUUGAUUGAACUGGAUAUUGAUCAUUGUGUACUGUGGGAUUGAUGGAUCAGAUUGGGGAGAUUUUCCCUUUUAGGAUUUUGAUUGACCUCAGCCCACUCUGUUUGCAGCCAUGUCAUGGGCCUUGAUGCUUGUAUACUUGGUUUUAUAUAGGUGGUAGACACCUCUUUCCUUAUAUAUGCUAAAUCAUCACUCUGAUUCUAGAUUGACUUGAUGUGGUCCUCAGUUCUUCACUUCUCCAACUUAAACAUUGAAUUAAAUUGGGUAGAACUAUGUGUUCCUUCAGCUAUGACAGACUGUGCCUGAUUCCUUUUUUUUAUACUCGUGGUAUACGAUCUCCAUGAUUCAUGUGCUUUUAUACAGGAGGUAAUUCUGGAGAGGAUGUUGGUUGACAUUUUCUAUAAGUUUAACAAUUUUGUCUACUCAUAAACAGUUGAAUUAUAGUCGAGGGGACAAUUUUUUGAUGCAGUAUGCUUUUUUCGCAUGUCGCUUACAAGAACAUGUCAUGAGGGCCAGUUUGCACAUAAGUUGAUAUCUAGCAUCAACUUUUGUGCCAAGCGUUUUAUGUAUAACAGAUUUUAUUCUUUCUAAGCACACGGAUGUCUAAAUAUUAGUGUUAAUUGUUAGUUAUAACUAUGAUUCACCACUUGCUCUGCCCUAAACCAAAUAUAUCGCAUAUAUCAUAGUGCAGCAAGAUCUCUUUUCAUCUUAUUUUUGUCUGAACAUGUAGUAUCUAUAGAUGUUCAAAGCUGAUGCCAUCUGGUGGUUUAUUAUUAUUAUUUUCGUUUGUCCAAGAUCAUUGGUUUAUUAUUAUAAUUUUUUUCUGUCCAAGAUCAUUGAUAGUACAGAAUCUGUAACCAAAUGGUUGUUUUGGUCUCACGACAGUGUUGAAUAUGGAGUUCUUCACUGGCUUUCUGUGCGAAUCAACACCGUCUGAGAACCUGUUUUCUCAUCCGGACGCUCAGAGGUGUCCAUUUUUGAGGAACAUCAAUGAACCAACAAACUUUUCCUUCUCAUCAUCUCUCGGUUCUCCUUUCCCAGUAAGUCAACACUAUGUCUUUCUCAUGCUUCAAUAUAGACUACAUGGAUGAAUUGUCCCUUUUACCCUACUGUGCCCGUUACUGUUGUCUUUUAGUUAAGAGGAGCGAAGGGUCCAAUCUUCGAAGAUGGACCCAGUUUUGAUAUGGCAUUCAAGAUUUUCCAUGGGCGCAACGGAGUCGUCCCACUUUCAGGGAAAUCCUAUAUGUGUGAGGACAAUGUGGAACCUGAGCCUGCAAUGCAGUUUAACCCUUUGGCAGGCAAAGCAGCCUCUAUCAGCCUCUCAGCUUUUGGGCCAGGAGGACCUUUCAGUUUUGAUUUCUUCUCAAAAAAGUGGAAAAGGGAGAAAUCCUCCAAGAAAGAUCACUCACGACAGGUCAGGUCUCCUGUAACAUUCAUACCUCAUCUCAAACUUUUAUUGUGUUUCUAGUUCAUUAGUUAUGUUGGUUCUUCGACACUCCAAAAACUUGAUUAUGUACACAUGAUCAUUGGAACUGUUGAAUUCAUAAAUUGGUGCAUUAAAUAUCACUGAUGAAAGAAACAAGAACAGUGGUUUUUCCCAUCUAGCUUUGAACCUUAAAAGAAGAAGAAUUUUUGUGAUUUGCAUUAUUAUCAUUAACAUCCGAUAUCAUAUAUUGUCUUAUGUCCAAAUUCUUGCUUGUAUUUGUCUGUUUCAGAAUGGAAAUGGUGCAUCACAUGAAGCAUCAAGCAACGAGUGGCUCAAAACAGGGCAGUGUCCAAUUGCAAAGUCUUAUAGGGCAGUGAGCGGUGUCCUGCCUCUCGUAGCAAAGAUCCUACAGCCACCACCAGGCAUGAAACUGAAGUGCCCCCCAGCUGUGGUGGCGGCUCGAGCAGCACUAGCCCGCACUGCCCUUGUGAAGACCCUCCGUCCCCAGCCGCUGCCUGCAAAAAUGUUAGCAAUAGCUUUGCUAGGCAUGGCUGCGAACGUUCCCCUUGGGGUUUGGCGAGAACAUACUGAAAAGUUCUCUCCUCAGUGGUUUGCCGCGGUCCAUGCUGCUGUGCCAUUCAUUGGCAUGCUCAGGAAGUCUGUGGUCAUGCCCAAGACCGCAAUGGCACUAACCAUAGCAGCCUCAAUUUUAGGUCAGACUAUUGGUUCGAGGGCUGAGCGGCUCCGGCUCAAAGCAGAAGCAGCAGCAGGGAGCUCAAGCAACUCGAUAAACCAGGCAGCUAUAGCUGUCAAAUCAAGCGGACACUGCAGUGAGGGUGAGGGGAGAGUCUGGGAGCCUCUUCCACUGAAGGUGGCUGGUCGAGGUUCAUCGCCAACCGCAAGUGUGUGUUUCUGAAAAUUAUUGCACUUAUGUUGCAGCAUCUAUCAAACCUCUAAAACCCAUUUUAUGCUUUAAAAUACUAUUAUCUCGUGUGCCAAGACCAGUAACAUUGCACUAUAUGCAGAAGCUGUAAGAUGAAUAAAGAGCUUUUAAGCUUGUUUUAUUCUGUUGCUGAUAUUAUAUGCUGUAUAUACCCAGGGUUUCUGGGUAAUCUUCUUCAAACUUAGCUACUAUGUUGGAAUGUAAUAAAAGCAUUAUACAUGUGGAUUAAGCAUAAAUGAGAACUACCAAUGUGCUUUGGUUGGACGUUGGUGGAUGGCUUUGGGCUGUCUCCAAGCACCUAUUUAAAACUUCUGUCUGGCUGUUGGUUUGCGGGUGAUAUGUCGUACUCCUUUUCAAUUUAGUAUCCUGCAUAUGGAAUAACUUUGUCCAAAAUCUGCUCUUGAAGAUGCAAGUAGAAUUUGUCACAAGCAUAAUGCGUCCCUUAUAGCAUAAUUCUUUUGAGUCCCGAUUGUAAUGAGCCACGGAGCUUGGUGCUUCCUCCAAAUUUUUUAUUUUUUAUUUUUUUUUACUAGUCUCCGAAUCUUCCUGCCUCUGUGCUGGUUGAAUGAUAUUGUAGCAGGUAUGACUUAAGGUUGUUGGUGGGUCUUUUGUCUUCUAAUUUUCCCUUACCUUUCUUUUGAUAUUAGCUACCAUAGAAAUCUGUCUAUUUUUGAUAAAUAAUUAAAUGAUUAAGAAAUUAAAUUGGAAUCUAUCAAUCAUAUCUAUUGUAUGUUUGAAAAAGUGAGAAAUAAACUAAAACAAACCAAAGAAUAUUUUUAGAUUCCAACUUAAAAUUUGUUAGAUUUUAUGAACAUGAAUCUUAAUGUAAAUUUUCAUGAUAUUAUUUUAUAGAAUUUAUGCUUAAUAAACAAACAUAACUAAAACUAUGUGUCGCGGAAGGUGUAAAUUUAUUAGACGUCUAUUUGGUAUAUUCUUUCUACAUCGUCAAGUCAAUCCAACGACCAUUAUUAGUCUACCGGGAAAAGGUUGAAAAUUUACCUUCCCGCCGCCCCCUCGCGCCUUCACUUGGAUUUCUUCGGUUCAUCCCGCCAAGAGAGUGGCGCCAAUCAUUCCCGCCAUCUCCCCUUCCUGCCUAUAUAAGACGCUUAGGCUCUCCUUAUCUUGCAUCUCUCUCUCUCUCUCUCUCUCUCUCUCUUUGUAAAUGGUGGUGGCGUUGGGUCCGGGGAGGUUCUACGGGAGUAGCCUCCCGCGGCCUCGCUUCUACGCUGAUGUGAAGUUCAACGACGAGCGGGUGGACCCACCGGUGCCCGUCAUGGACCCCUUCCUCUCCUGGGCGAAGGAGGCGCACUGGUCCAUGGGCGGCCUCAAUUUCAACCGCCACCGCCUCCAGGGCCGCAUCGAGGGCUCCAUCAAGAAGCUCCGCGCACAGCAAGAGAAGAUGCAACGAGGAACGCCGGUGCUCUCCGUCAGACCCAAGUCGAUGAUUUCGAAGCCCAGAGUCGCCGGCCGGAAGCCUCUCCAUCUUGCGUCCCCCGAUUCGGUCUCGUCUGGUGGCGAUGAUGAUGAGGAGGUGGUAGCGUCGGAACAAGGGAAGAGUGAGUUUAAGGUUUCUUCCUCUCCAAGUAGAUCUGGUGAUGGCAAGAGGAAAAGGGUGAGGAGGCUCGGGGAGGAAUUCGAUAGGAUCGCGGCGGAGCAGCUGAAGGGGCCGAGGGAGGAUGCUGGUGGCGUGGCAUCAAGGACCCGGCGGCGGAGGUCAGUUACAGAGGAAGUCGAGGUUGAUGAAGGGGACGCUACUUCUGCUUCUCCUAACAGGAAACGCAGCAACCAGGCCGAGGGAAAGAAGAUGAAGGAGGUCGAUGGUGCGGUGCCGAGGAGGACUUCGCCUAGGAAGAAGCAAUCAAGUUGAUAACCAUGUUCGUCGAUCACAUGCAUGUGCCCUUGGUGGUGCCACCAACUGUCGUCCUUAGGUUGUAUGCAACAUGUUUGUGAUAUUGACUGUGAUGAGGAACAAAAGAAAAGUUUGCCAUUGUGCAGUUCUGGCUUUUCAGUGUAGUUCUUUGUGGCAUAAAAAUAUGUGUUAACAUAAUAUUUAUGAUUUCGUCUAAAUAGUUUUAAUAAUUUUUAAUGAUUAUAAUUUGUUUUAUGUAAAAUAAUCAUAAUGAUCAUUUGAAAAGAUAAUUAAUCUAUUAACAUGAAGGGUGUGAAGCAAUAAAUAAAUAACUUGCUUACCUGCCUGUAGGCCCUGCGAAGGAACGAGGUCGAAAGGCAAUGCCCAACCCAUGAGCUUCGUAGUAGUUGGCGCAGCACGCAGGUGUGAUGUCUCCCUAUAAUCAAUCCUUGCCUGCACACAUCCUCCGCCAUCAGCCAAGCAAGAAGGCUUACGGUACCCAAAGGAACGAUCUUUCGUCCAUGACGACUCACCUUCUCCCCAUCACUCUGCUCUCCCUGCUCGCCGCGGCCUCGUCCCACCACCCGAUUGCAGCUUCGCCGCACGGCAGGGACGUCGUAGUGGCGGUCCGGGAGAUGCAGCGCGCCAGCUACUUCUCCUUCGCCAUGCUCAUCCAGAUGGUGCAGGACAAGCUCCCCGACAACUCCACCUUCCUGAUGCCCAGCGACAGGAUGCUGUCCAAGAUCCUCAUCCCCGAGAACGAGGUGGUGGCGUUCCUGGGCAGGCAUUCGAUCCCCUCCCUGCUGCUGUUCGACGACCUGCGGCGUCUCCCCUCGGGGACUCUGGUUCCCACGUACCAACCUGAUUCCAUGAUCACAGUGAACAACAGCGGGAGGAGGAACCUGUACCUCAACGGCGCGCUGCUGGUGCGCCCUAAUGUUUGCACCGCCGGCCCGUCGUUCAGGUGUCACGGAAUCUACGGAGAGAUGACAGCGGUCGCCGCGAACAGAGCUGCGCCACCCAACUGCGCCGGAGCAGCCCCGCUGCCACCAGCGGCGGCAGUCCCUCUCCUGGCACCGCCACCUCAGCCGACUUCGGUCGCUCCCCCCAGUGUGAACGCCGCCGUCAGUCCUUCCCCUGCAGGAUUUGACAACAGUGCGAGGAGGUCGGGUUCUCCCGCGAUCAGUUUUAGCAUGGCCUGCUCUGCUGCCAUGGUACAGUUCCUAAUAUUAUCAAUGGUGAACAAUCCAAGUUAGAUCACUACCACUCAGGUUUCAUAUAGAUCUUUAGUCUGCUUAAAAGAAAGCCAAUGAUGUCAAUUCAAGAGAAAGCAAUUGUUCCAAACUACAAAAAAAAAGAAAAAAGCAUAGUUUUAGUAAAUCAAAGAAAAUUGUAAUGAAAUUGCAAGGCAUCAAAUCUGGUGGUCUCAGUAGAAUAACAUUCUUCUGUUGAUUCUAAAUUUACAUGACAAAUUUAGUUCAAAAAGGAGUGAUAAAAAUAUCUGUGGCUUUCUUGAUGAACACCUGUGGACAUGUGAGGAGGAGAAACCCUAAACCAUUAAUAUAAUGUACAUCAAUAUGAAUCAACAUCUAUUGGUGUAUACAAUUAAAUGAUUACAUAUCAAAAUCAAGCUUCCUUUUAAAACAAUUAGCACUCACCAAUCAAAUAUCACCAAAAGCCGAAUGAUGGAGAACCUAUUCACAGGGGCUGUUACACCAUCUGAUCUCUUCAUAGUAUUUCACCUUCAUAAAAAUAAUGCUUGAGCGAAGAAAUACUGUAUUUGAUUUUUGCCCAAAAUAAGCACAUAUGACUAACUCUCAAGUCAAAGAAGUAUGUCAUUGCAAAACAAGAAAUGUCAUCAUACUCUUCUACUGUUUCGAACAAUAAUAAAUAUGCCAUUUCCAAUGAAAUAAUAGUUUGGUGCAAGCUCCAUAUCUUAUAUGAGAAACAUACAAGUUCCAUAGUUUAUGAAAUCCUCUUCUUUUAGGAGAAAGAAAGCCAUGAACGAGAUGUAUAAAACUUACAGUGUCAACAAUGCUUCUUUGGGCAUCAUAAGAUCAAUAGUUAGCAAGUCAUGAUGGAGGAUGACUUGCUAAUAAUUAGGAUCAAUAAUCUGCAGAUAAGUAUAUACAUGGAGAAAGAAGACAAUAUGCAGCAUCAACCUCCAUUACUUACUCGAAAACGAAAUCAAAUUGCCUCAACUAGAACAUAAAGUGGCAGUUCUACAAGUGCACAGACCAAAAGAAGUACUUUGAGAUUUGUUGGUGUGGCAGCAUAAGCUGAAUGCAGAGAACGAAUAAGGGCUUGGGCAUCACUUGUAUUUGAUUUCACCAUCCUCAACUCUAGGUUUCCUGAAAUUGAAAACAAAAGAAACAAGACAUAUUGGUAGUUUUUCAUCAAACACAACAACAAUGCCACAGAAAAAAAGUCUGAAAAAAUGCAUUAGCAAUAAAGAAGUUCACAAGCACUUAGCUUCAUAAGAAACAUCUAUGUUUUGAAAGGAAAAUUGGUGGAUCAGCUGAACUGAUGUGAUAAUCAUAGAUGUCUCAUUAACAGAUGGCGCAGAGGUACCAGUAAGAUGCUUCAUUGAGUACAAUGAACAACGAAACUGUGUAAUAAUAGAGUCUGAGACACGUAAUAGAGCAAUAAGCCAUAUGUUAUGACGACUAUUUGGGGUUGGCUACAUGGUCUUUUCGCAUCGCUGAGCCCAAUUGAGGGCAAUCUCACAGAUCAAAUUGAAAUCCAUCAAAGCCUUCUUAUUGUUUCUAAUUAGGCCUUCUUUAAUUGUGGACCUUCGAAGAAGCACUUAUUUAUAGCAAAUUUAAGCGUUCUCAGAAUGUAUUCUAGGCAAGCCCUAGGUUCCAUUAACAUCAAGCCAAAUGAAGAUUGAUCAAUCUCUCCAACAAUUUAGCAAGACAAAUGAGAGAAAAAAAUCUUUCUAGCCAAACUCAUUCAUCCAACAAAUUUGGCAAAUCCUCACUCGUUCAUUCAAAACCUAAGCCAACAAAUACCCCAAAUCCUAAGUUAUUUCGUGCGCCUAGACACAGACGGAUACAGAUUCUCCUUACUCUUUUGGCAUCACCAUGUCUCGUCAUCUCCGCAAAGAGGGCGUGCGCGACGGCCAAAAUCGAAGCUUUUCUAAAGCUGGUGCAACAACAACGAACAGCAACCAGAGAAGUUCAAUCAUAGCUAGAGAUCACAUCGAGUCAUGAAGAUCCAAACAGAAAAGCCGGACGACAUGCGAAGAUCAAAUCCCAAACUUCAAAGAGAAAUACAAAGAUGAAAGGGAAGGGAGGAUAUGGAGAGACGAACCCGAGACGAGAGAGCCGAUCGAGACGGCCACGCCUUCGCUCUCUGUUCCAGUUGCGCGGUCGACCGGGAACGAAAACAAAGUGGUUUUUCAGCUUAUAGCUGGGGUCAGAGGAAAUGCGCCUUCUUUCUCUGCCGGAAGUACCUGCUCGCUGGUUGGGUAAUAAAGUGAGACCCACCAUAAUAUGUGGCGUCUAAAACAGUAGGCGCGGAAAACCUGUGUUCGUUUAUUUUGUGAAAGAAAGACUCGAUGCCACGUGUGGUGCGUGUGACCGAAAGGCGAGUUAGUCGAACUUGGAUGCAUUUGGUUGAUAUAUAUAUAUAUAAAAGAUUGCUAUGUCUUUUGGAAGACAACUUAAAAGAGACAUAUAUUUGCUCGCAGGUCUCCUCAUUGGAGCAAUGCAGAAACACACGUGAUUAAGGUUCAAGUCAGGAAAAUAAUAUCUCUAUUUAUAAAGAUAAGAAUUAACAAGAUUCCACAUUCGUAAUAAUCUUACGCACUUAGCCACAUUUUCAUUUCAUGUUUCUCGGUUCAUAUGUGUUUAGUCAGUUUUUUCUUUUAUUCAAUUAGGGCAUAACAUAUCAAAUUUCCUAAUUUAAACAUAAUUAUUUUAAUUUUUUAUUAAUAAAAUAUACAAAUAAAUAUUUAAUAUUCUAUGUUGGAUGAUAUUAUUUUUAUUAAUAAAUUAAAAAAUAAGAUUAAAUAAAUAUAAUAACUAAAAAAAUUAUUAUGAGAAGGUGUUGCAUCGUAUUGAAGAGAGAUAUAUUCUUUUGUAUUUUCUUAAAAAAUUAAUUUUUUUCUAUUCCUUCAAGUGUUUAAAAAUUUAUUUCAUAUUAAAGUAUGUUGUAAUUAUUCAUGCUAUGUACAGUUUUCUAAAAUUUUUAUCUUUCAUGCAUGAUACUAGUUGUAAUAUUUUAUUUUUAUUAUAUUUUACAUAAUAUAUUAUUAAAAAUAUUAUUUCCUCUAUUAUAUAAUUUUAUCUUUUAAUCUAUCAUUUUUAUUAUAUUUAAUGAUUUAAUAUUAAUGAUUAGAUAUUUUAAUUAUAAUUUCAUAAUUAAAAAUUAAGAAAAUUAAUUAGGAUUCGAUUUGAAAUCAACUAGUGGGCAAGACCUAGCUCAUAGACUAUGCCAUAACUCAUAGAUUAAGCCCAGCUAAUAGGUCAAGUCUCCUCGUAAGCUAGCUUAGCCUAACCUAACAUGUGUUAUCAAAUGUAGUGUACAUGACUAGUUCAUGGGCUAUGGGCUAGCUAAACUAGGUAUGGUGCAUAUAUAAUCAUGUGUUACACAUGACCAAUGUUUAUGUUGGCCCAACCUAAUCUAAUGCUAUGCAAUGUUAGGGCUCAAACAUUAAUUGAACUAAAUCAAUUGAUUAAUAUGGAUCAACUUAGGGUGAUUUCGAUCUAGUUUGACUUAUUCAAGUUGACUUAACUUAAAUUGGAUCAAAUCUAAUCUAAAUAAUACUAGUUUAGGUAGUUUCAGAUCAAUUAAAUAAGGAUUAGAGAUGCUUCAAUUAGGUUAUAAUUAAAUCAAGCUUAGUUGGAACGAUUAGGUUAGGAUUUAAAUUAAUUGAGAUCUAAUUAAUAUUAUUUGAUAUUAAUAAUAUUUAAAAAAUAAAUUAAGAUGUUUCAAUAUAUUAUUUUAUCCCGAUAUAGACAUGACUAAUAUGAGAUGAUUCUAUUUUUCAAUUGAGAGUAGGUAUAGUGAUUUUCUUUGAGGAUUAGUGGAUUCUCAAACAUGAUAGUUGGACGGUUUCUCCAUUCGUUGUUGGAAGGAAAGUGCCCUCUCUUUGACGAGUGAAGGUUAUCACUCCAUCCCUUUUUGGGAGUGUGAUAUGGGUUUGUCUAUUUCACAUUAUUGGGAGAAUACUCAUUCGGGUAUUUGAUAUAUGCCAAUAGAAUAAUUGAUUUUUUGGAUAUGUAUAGUUGACUUAUAAGAUUCCUACUCAGCUUUAUUAAAAAAAUUUUGUUUUACUUUUCAUUUUCUUAGCGGUCUCUUAAUAGCAUUAGACUAGAUUUCAAUGGAGAGCAGAACUUUCUCUAUAAAUAGAUAGAACUAAUUAGAUUUUAUUUUUGAGUUAAUAUCACUAUAUUUCUCAUUAAGGCCUUUGACUUCUUUUGACUUUUAUUUUGAUGAAUAAAUAUAUUAUAAUAUAUCUGAAAACAUAGCCUAUCAAAGAUCUUCGUUUAUCAAGAUCCACAACAUAAUCAGAGUCGAUGAAACAAACCAACAUGUCAUGAUUUUUCCCAAACUUCAAACAAGUAUCUGAAGUCCCUUGCAAGUAUUUGAGAAUCCACUUCACAGCCUGCGAAUAUGUUUUACUCGGGCAAGACAUAUAUUUGCUAACCACACUGACUGCUUGUGAAAUAUCUGGACAAGUACAAACCAUUGCAUAUAUAAUACUAUCGAUAACACUAGAAUAUGAAACUUGCACCAUAUAUUCUUCCUCUUCAACUAACUGUGGUGAUUGAGCAGCAGAUAGCCGAAAAUGACUAGCAAGAGGAGUACUCACUAGCUUAGCAUUUUUCAUGCCAAACCUCUCCAAGACUUUCUUGAGGUAAUUUUUCUAGGUCAGAAAUAAUUUUCCAACUCCUCGUUCUCUUUUGAUCUCCAUGCCAAGAAUUUUCUUAGCUGCUCCCAAAUAUUUCAUUUCAAAUUCACUACUCAGCUGCAUUUUCAAAGUGUGAAUUUUUGAUAAAUUCUUAGCUGCAAUAAAUAUGUCAUCAACAUAAAGCAACAAAUGCACAAAAGAGUCAUCAGUUAACUUCCGGAAGUAGACACAGUUAUCAUACAUGCUCCUCGUGUAACUAUGACCCAACAUAAAAGAAUCAAACCUCUUAUACCACUGUCUUGAAGACUGCUUCAAUCCGUACAAGGAUUUCUUUAACAAGCAAACAUUAUCUUCCUUACCGUCAACUUCAAAUCCAUGAGGUUGCUNNNNNNNNNNNNNNNNNNNNCACGACUAGAGCUAUGUUUAACAACAAGUGAAAAUACGUCAUUAAAAUCAACACUAUGUACCUGACUAUGGCCCUUUGCAACUAAUCGUGCUUUGUACCUUGCAUCUUCAACCCUUGGAAUACCUUCCUUCCUUUUGAAGACCCAUUUGCAUCCAACAAUUUUCUUACUCGAAGGUGGCUUUACAAGAUCCCAAGUUCUAUUCUAAUGGAGAGAUUCAAUUUCUUCAUUCAUCGCAAUCAAUCACUUAGCGGAAUUAUCAUAAGAAACUGUAUCUGAGUAGGUAGUAGGCUCACCAACUUCACUUGUUUCUUCUGCAAUAAACAAAGCAUAUGCAACCAAAUUGCAUAUCUUUAUGGUGGUCGAAUGUCUCUCCACGGUCUAUCCUUGGUUAUGGAAUAUUACUCUUCCUCUAGAUCAUCUUCGUUAGUAGACUUGGGACCAUCUACUAGCAUUCUUUGAGUAGAAGAGUUCGACUAAAAAGAAUCAGAACUACUAAUCUCAAGCUCCACCUGCUUCUGUGCACUAUCAUUUGUACAACUAGUAGAUUUUUCUUUGGAAGAUAACAUAGACAAUUCAUCAAAAGUAACAUCUCUACUGAUUACAAAUUUUGGGGAUUUGGGUUUAGAAUACCAUAAUCUAUAUCCUUUGACCCUAGAAGCAUAUCUAAGGAAAAUGUACUUUUUAACUCGAGGCUCUAAUUUUCCUUCAUGUAACAUGUAUGUAUGCUGGACACCCAAAAAAGUUUAAAUCAGAGUAAUCAGCAGGAGUACCUGACCAAACUUCCUCCAGAGUUUGAAAAUUAAGUGCUGCAGAAGGAGCGCAGUUGACAAUGUAACAGGCCAUAUUAAUCGCCUCUGCCCAAAAGUCUUUUGUCAACUCUACAUUUGAAAUCAUGCACCUUGCUCUCUCCAAAGUAUUUUGUUCAUAUGUUCGUCCACACCAUUUUACUGAGGCGUCAUCCUAACAGUGCGAUGCCGAACAAUUCCUUCAUUUUUGCAGAAUUCAUCAAAGUCAUAUUCACAAAAUUCUGUUCGAAGCCGCUUAAUCUGUUAUGUUUACUUCUCAAUCAAAGCCUUCCAUUAUUUAAAGGUUAGAAAAACAUCAUUUUUAUAUUUUAAAAAAUAAACCCAAAUUUUUCUGGAAUAAUCAUCAAUGAAAAUCAACAUAUACCUAGCAACACCGUUAGACUGAACACGAGCUGAAUCCCAAAGGUCUGAAUGAAUAUAGUUAAGAGUACCUUUCGUUUUGUGAACUGUCGGAGAAUUGAAGCUGACUCUUUUCUGCUUUCCAAAUAUAUAGUGUUCAUAGAAAUCCAGUGGCCUAGUACUUUGUCUGCAAAGAAGACCACUUUUGCUUAAUAUGCUUAAAUAUUUUUCACUCAUAUGACCCAAACGCAUAUGCCAUAAUUUGGUGAUGUCGGAAUCAGAUAAUGAUGAUGACGAGACUGCAACCGAGCCUGUGACAAUAGUUCCCUGCAAAAUAUAUAAGCUACUAGACCUAUAAGCUUUCAUAACAACAAUGACACUUCUAGAAACUUUCAUAACUCCACCUUCAGUUGCAUAUUUACACCCAAGAGCCUCUAGGGUGUCUAAAGAGAUGAGAUUCUUUUUUAAAUCAGGAACAUGUCUAACAUUAGUGAGCAUCCUCAUAAUACCAUCAUGUAUUUUAAUUCAGAUUGUGCCUCUACCAACAACAUCACACGUGACAUUAUUGCCCAUCAAAACAAUUCCACCAUUACAAUAUUCAUAUGUGGAAAACAAAUCUCUAUUGGGACACAUGUAAUGAGAACAACCCGAAUCUAAAAUCUAUUCAUUUUUAGAUCUCGUCCUGUCAUCAGUAGCGAACAAAAUAUUUCCAACAUUCUCAUCAGUUGCUACACUAGCUUCAACGGACUUAGUAGUUUUCUCAACAUUUUUUUCUUUUGCUUUAAUUUAUUUUUUAAUUCAAAGCAAUCAGCCUUAAUGUGUCCUAUUUUAUGACAAUAUCUGCACUCCAAAUUUCUAUAUCUAGAUUUAGAUCUACUACUAUCAAAUUUCUUUUUAUCUAUUCUACCCCUAACAACCAGACCCUCAACGUGAUUCCCUCUAUUUUCCCCAAUGAUAUCCAUGUCUAUCUACUCCUUAGGUUUUAGUGCAGAUUUAAUUUCCUGAUAUGAAAUUAUUUUCUUUUCCACAAAUCAUAGUAUCACGGAAAUACUUAAAGGAUUGGGGAAGAGAACACAAAAGUAACAGGGCCUUAUCCUCGUCAUCAAUUUUCGCAUCUAGAUUCUCCAAAUCCAUAACUAAGGAAUCAAAUUUAUCAAGAUGUGAGAGUAUAGAUGUACCUUAAGUCAUCCGAAGCAUAUACAAACUCUGCUUCAAGUAGAGACGAUUCUCCACUAUCCUCUUCAUAUACAAAGCUUUAAGCUUGUCCCACAUGCUCUUAGCCAUAGUCUUCGUACCUACCUCCCGUAAAACCUCGUCAGAGAGAUUUAGAAUAAUGCUUGAUCGGGCCUUCUUAUCCAUACCCGUAAGAUCUUCCUUUGACGUAUCAUCUAGAAUGUUCUCAGCUCCCUGUAGUGCCAAAUCAACUCCGUCUUAAACCAAAAUGACCUCCAUCUUGAGCUGUCACAUGUCGAAGUUGACAUUUCUGUCGAAUUUCUUGACAACGAUCUUUGUUAUAAUCAUCGUUGCCAAAGAUCCCGAAACCAGGCUCUGAUACCAGUUUGUUAGAGUUGGCCCUAGAAAAUUUAUCAAAGGGUAAUUUGGCAACUCAAUAAAGAUAAUAAAGUAGAAAAAUAAAAGAGACAAGUGCACCAGAUUUACAUGGUUUGGUCAAUUGACCUACGUCCACGGACGAAGGAGGAGCAAAACUCUACUAUAAAAGGGACAAUUACAAAUGUCUUAGGAAAAUGUUACUAGGCCAUAAAACACCUUAAACUACUAAACAAGAAAAGCCCAAACUAUAAGUCCAAACUAUUUUAACUAAGUGUGGACUAUUUUAACAUGUAUCACCUUAGGGUACCCCUAUCUGAAGAAUAAUGAUAUAUUUAUGCGGUUAUGUAUCGAUUAUAUAUCUCUUUCCCCGAAUAGAUGACCUAUCUAAUCAAGUAUGUUAGAAGAUUGGUUUGUGGUUUAUGUAUCAUCAAUUGAAGAUAAGGGAAGGAGAUAUGCAAAAAAUUACUUUCAAAAUAAGAUAUGAUCAGUAUGAAUUCUUAAUAAUACCUUUCGGACUCACAAAUAUACUAACUGCUUUCAUGGUUCUCAUGAAUAGAGUAUUCCAUCAUUAUCUUAAAAAAUUUAUAAUCAUAUUUAUUGAUGACAUCUUGAUUUACUCUAAAAGUAGGGCAGAAUAUGAACACCAUCUCAUGAUAGUUUUAUA
rnacentral:lncRNA from 1 species